rnacentral:lncRNA from 1 species
AAAAAGCAAGUGAAGGGUGAAAAAUAAAACAAAUGUUAGUAAACAAAAUAGGUUUUGUGUUGGAUUCCUAAGAGCAAAAUAGGUUGCUUUGAUGUAUAGGAUUCUCAAAACACAGGAAUAGAACAAACACAUGAUUUACAAAGCUACAGGAAUAACAAUGUAUGGAACAUUCCUAAGGAUCUAAAUCCUCAGUCCUAUAAGAUUCCUUUGAAAGGAGCCCUAAAACUGCAGAAACUACAAAUUCAAAUCAAAUACUCCCUCUGUUCCAAAAUAGGUGAGUAGGUUUUAUGUAGGAUUGCUAAUCGUUCUAGCUAAAACCGAUGAACCUACAAAUUCAUUCUGCCCUACCAGAGCUGCCGUCUACAGAAAACCCAAACUAGAAGUAAAAAGCUGCACCCAGAAGAGAUACAAUUCACAGAGAAGUAAACAGACAAGCAGAAAUGCAGAAACACACAGGCCGCAACAACAAUAUUCAUCGUUCAGGCGUGCCAGACCAUCGGGCAUAACUUGGCAAUUCAGAGUACAUCACCUCAACAACUAGCUAAACCGGCAGCUAGACACAAGCUAGUUUCCAAAAGUCAAAGUUCAACCAGCCAGACCUAGAGCUGGCACACUUGUGCACAGCACGGUUUACAUACACACAACUUGAUUUCGGCCCUCGAAAGAAAGAGCUCGAUUUCGGUGAACAACCAUACACCACAGAGACCCCAGUUACGGAUCCUUCAUUGCCUGAUCAGCUGCAUAUAUGGUUAAGUUUAAGACCCAUUCAGAAAUUUAGAUCAUAAAGAAAGGCGAGCGGUCAGGAAGAGGUGUGGUUCAAAGAUUCGCCCCAGGAUUACCUGUGUAGCUGAGGUUCACUUGGAGACUUUUAUGUUAGCGAGGGCAGCAAGAGCCUCCACGAUCUUGCCUUCAUUGAUGGACCUAGUAGCCUGUGCAAAGAAAUUUGGAUUUUGCAGGACUGAGUUCCUGGUAAAAUAUGAAAUGGCAUAUAUCCCAAAUGUCAGCAAAAGACACUGACCUUGAGAGACGGUAUCAGUGCAUAAACCUCUUUGAUGGUCUCAGGCCCAAUGUUCGCUAUCAUGCAUAUCUGUUACAGGUGCAACAAACCAUUUUAUGUUUGAGAUGAGGGAAAUGAGAUACAAGAAGGUGAGAGGAAAAGAAGGCUUACGAACCUCGCCAUCAUUAACACCAUAGUCUUUAAGAGGUCUGCAGCUACGAAUCAAGGAAAAUAACUACAAAGUGGUUGCUUGGCGAAACAAUUUAACUGCGUAACCACAAUGCAAUCUCUAAUAUUAGUUCUUAACCAAAACAAAGGAUACUCCAGAAUUUCUUUCACCGACUUCGCAGAGGUGAAGUGAUUUCCUUCUUUUGCAUAUUGAAAGGCCUUGUCAAACGACCUGCCGGUGCAAAAAGAAAAGAUUAAACAUGGAGUCACACAAGCUAACAGACUGGAACACCACAUAAACAAUUAUUAGCGGAACAUAACAGAAUUAAAACAAGAGAUAUUCCUUACUCGGGAAUUUUUAUAGUCGGAUCCUCUGAUAAGAUAGCCAUAUGUCCUUGAAUUUUCUGCAACAUUUCUGCUGCUUCACAGUUCGAUAACAAUAUAGAAUUUGGAGGCAUAUCUGCAACCAAUUGUUAUGCAGAAAUCAGCUUGCCUUUUUUACGUUUAGACAGAAGGGACGUUUGAAAAUCAUAAUAUAAGAUGUGUGCCCGUUUCAAAUGAUGUAAAACUAACAAUCUCAUUAUACGGAACUUCUCAAGUAAAGAGCCUACUGAAAUUCCAUAAACUACCGAACUUUAACUACUAUUAAGGUUACUAUGAAAUAAGCUUCUAGAAAAAUAGAGGAUAUUUCAAUGGAAGAAACUGACCGAGCUGAAGCUUUAGUUCUGCAUCAGACAUUGCAGGCUUUGCAUUUGAUGCGGAGCCCUUCCCACCUUUCCCAGCACUAAAUGCCUUCCCUCCUUUGCUACCUUCUCCUAUGAGAACAUAAUACAUGAAAGACACAGAAAGACAAUCUAUUGUGUAACUAGAACUUUCAGUUUUAUCGGCAACUCUUGAAUGGAUGAAUGUAUAGCAAAAGUACAAAACGAUGCAUCCAUACCAUUAGAAAAGGAUGAAGCCUUUCCACCAGUUUUUAGGCUAUCAGAUGAAGCUUUCCCAUUUGACUUGGAGUGUGUGGGGGGAGCCUCUUCUUCGAAAAAAUCUAAAUACAGGCAGUGAUAUAUGAGGUUCUUUUAUAUUUUCAACUAUAUAUCAAUACAGUACUCACAUUGACUUAUUCGGUUUCAUUCAACUAUCCGGUAAAUUUUAGUGCUUAUUUAUGUACUGUGAUCAGAUAUUCUGCCCUAUCUAAUACUGCAAUAGUUACAGUGUAAGCAGCUCAAUGAUUACCAUUUGUUAUGCACAGCCAUAAAUUGGGGGGGAAAAAAAACAGUGUCUUGCCUUCAACUACAAACGAUAUGAAGUGCCCUUUCACACUCAACGUAAUGGUAAAUAACAUCAACUAUGAGCAAAUAGUCAACGAAUCAUCUGCAAAUAAAACCAAAGGGGAACCACAAACAUGGUAUAUAAUUCUCUUCCGACAUUUUUUUCUGUAGUAUUUGAUCAAUCCUAUGAAGGCUGCCAAGAUAAGUAUUUGGGGAGCGUAGAAGGUUGCGGGAAUCUUCUAGUUAAAUCAUUCUUUAAUCUUUACUGGAACAAAAAGUAUCAUUUAAAGUUUUCAAACAGAAAAGUUUACUACCUUCUUGCUAAAGAUGCCCUAAGCCCUAGGGUAGCAGGGUACAACCGUACAAAUGGAAUUUUCUUGACAGUGAUAAAUAAAACACAAUGAUCAUAUCACACAGAUAGCUUGUAACGUGCUAGCAGACACAAGUGAUAUUCUUUAAUUCUUAUAACAAAAGCAAAUACCAAAGGAUUUUCUCAUGGAGCAGAGCUGUGAUAAGUGUAGUAAAACUAGAUUUAAGUAGAACAGCGGUGUGAACACAUGUGACUUGGCAUGCCCAGACCAAGUAGCCAGACAUAAAACAUAUCAUAAGAAGGAUAAUGUGAGUUGAAAAUAAAAAGGAUUUAGUCCAAUAAAUAAACUGUUGCCUGGAAAAUGUUUAAUGACGAGAUUGGGCAAUAUUAUUACCAUCAGAAUCAGAAUCAGAAUCAGAAUCAGAAAGGUGAAUAACAUCAUUAGAAUUGUUCUGCCUUCCGUUCGGUGCUCCUGCAAGAAUAAAACAGGUAGGAAAUCUGUCAAACUCUAAACUUGCCUUCGAAAGCUCAACUUCUCAAAAAACACAGCAUUCAUUUUGAUGAAGCUGUAAAAUCAUCAAUCAUCAUAUAGCAGGAUCACACAACUGAACAAAAAAAACAUACCAUAAAAGCCUUAGAUUAAAAAACUUCCCUGUCAGACAUAAAUACCUUUAUUCUGUUCAGGUUUGGCACCUGCAACGGUGCGGGGGUUGUCGCUCCGGUUUGGCAUGGCAAAGGAUAUUACUGGGCGGGGCAUGGAAUGUCGAAUAUCCUGCGCGUUCUGAUGGUAGCGGCCGUGCGAGACGGCGCUGGGGUUGGCGCUCAGGUUCAGGUUUGUGUUUGGGUUAAGUGUGUGGAUGGAGUUGCCUGAGCUGGCCAUGGGAGAUUGGCGAUCCUGCAGGCGGCCCAAGGCGGCUCUGAGGUUAACAUUCAGGUUCAGGUCUCGCCUGUAGGAGUUGAGGUAUCGGAGAUCCUGCGUGUAGUGAAGGUAGCUGCCGGGCAAGGCGGCGCUAGGGUUUGCAUUUAGAUCUGGAAUGGAGAAGGAGCGGUACAUGGGGAAGGAGAUGGCUGGGCGGUGCAUGGGGAAGGAGAUCGUUGGGCGGUGCAUGGGGAAGGACAUGGGUGGGCGGGGCAUAGGGGGAUGAAGAUCCUGCGUGUGGUGGAGGUAGGGGCCGCCGUGAAAGGGAGAGGUGGCCGAGGGGUGGGAGUAAGGGCCGAACGGCGGCGGCGGGCCGACGGCGGCAGGGAACGUGGGCGCAGCGGUAGGAGGCGAACCGAAGAGAAUACCCAUGUCGAAGGGAGGAUCGGGGUUGUUAGUGUUCGGAUUAGGGUUAAGGUUUCUGGCAGGAGGCGCCAUGGGAGGCGGCGGCGGAGUAGAUCUGGAGAAGAGGGGAAGAGGAGGAAAGUUGGAGGUGGGAUGAACCGGAAAUGGAGGUCAAUAACUCAAUAUAUAGGCGGUGGUUGUUUUGUUGCUGUCGUGCCCCGCAAUUUCACUUUAUUUGCGCCCCGCAAUUUCACUUUAUUUUGACUUAAGCCUCUCAGUUCCAAACAAGUUGCGGUAGGCUAGAGUUGAAACCGAUAAGAUCUCGAAACCAAGUCAUGGUUCUGCCACAUGGAUAGCUAACUUCCACGCACCCAUGCCCAUGGCUAGUUCUUUGGUGAUAGUGCUGCUAAAUAUUGCUAUUUUAAAUUAAUUCCAAAAACACCCAGUACAAUAUGCAGACUUCAUACAUGUACAUCACUCCAUUCCACGCAUUUCAACAAGACAACAAGGUUGUGGUGUGUGUUACUAAGAUGCUGCGAAAUAGAUAACCUAUUACUUCAAAUAAGCAAGGGAUAAAUCAUCAUGUUCUCCAAAGUAGUAUAUUCUUGAGAGAAAAUUUACGGCAUGUCGUAAGCCGUUCUAACACAGGUACGAAAAAACGCUAACUAUCACAGAACCACGAGCAUAUCACACAUGUGAUAUUUCAGAAUAGGCAUAUACCUCAGUUUCUAGUUUAGUUCUACAUUUGAUACAAGGAUUUUCCUUCACCAAAAUAGUGAAGGUUGGAUUAACUAAGGGGCUGCUUGGUUCCCAGCCACACUUUGCCACAUAUCAAGUUAGGCAAGUUUGACCAGGUUAGGUGUGUGUUUGGUUCUAGCCACACCUAAGGCAAGAUUCUUUUAUUCACUAUAAGUCCACAUGUCAUACACACAAAAAGUGUGGCAAAAUUCCCCUGGGCAAUCCAAAGUGAGGCUAAGAAUUUGAGCACCUAAGCUAAGGCAAUUAGUUACCAACCAAACAUGCCCUACAUUAACAGCCGGCCUUCCUCUGCAGAGCAGAAAAAAAAAGGACAACACACCAAGAUGCUCAAGCAUGGAAUUUAAAUAUACAGACCAAGCUUAUGUGCUUAACUGCACCAAAAUCAACAAAAAUUCUUCCAAGGAACGCAUGCAAGACAUAUCCACGGAUAUUCGCUCUCUUGUUGAAGGGAAGGACCAUUCGUUAGACUAAAACCCUUAGGAAUCGCUAAAUUUAGCAAUGCACUUGUGCAUAAACACAAAUAAUCCAUUUAGUGUUACCUUAUUCACAGGCAAGCAGACCCAAAACCUAUUAGGCUGCUAGUGAUUCGACAAUGCCCAGCAGCGUUUAAUGCAUCGUCAUUUUGAGCAAGCUGUGUCACGGUCAACUCAAUUAUCUACUUUUCCAGCUUUCCUUGAGACACCAAAUUAUAAGAACCCACCCACAUAUGAGUGACACAACCAGUAGCAAAGUUGUUAAGAUUUAAUUUGGUAACAAAUAUUAGCCAGAUGUAUUUCUAUAAGCACACAUAACAGAUAAUCCAAUCCAAUUCUACGAUCCAAAGGGCAUUGUCAGGAAAAAAAAUCUUAAGGACUGGAACCCUUCUCAAAAGUCAUACAGUCGAAAGAGGCCCUGAACAAACAGCUCUGUUUUGUCGUGGAUAUAUCACACCCAUAACAAAAUCCAACCAAAACCACAUGAUAAACAACCAAAUCAUAAUCCCUCGCACCGAUCAAGUUGGAUCUAAACCAUCUCCAAUAGCCAAAAUUCAUAUCCUAUCGAUGCCCACCCGCCAGGGCACCAGUACCGUGACAACAAAACCCUCGGCGUUCUGUAAACCCUAAUCCUUGGCCAUUGGCAUCGGAUCCUACUCGAUAGACGCGAAGAUCCCCGCAUCCACCGGGUUUUAUCCGGUGAAUGUCGCGUUGGUCGAGGAUUGAGACGACAUCGACGCAAAAAAAAAUACAGGGAAAGGGGGGAUAAAACGAAGGGUAGGACCCUUUCCCUCCCCUGUUCGCCAUUGCGGAGGAGAAGGCGGUGGUGAUCAGGAGGCGCCUGCCGGAGUCGGUCGCGUCGCUCUCCGCACCGACGCCGCACGCGCCCCGCAGCUCACUGCUCGCUGUCGCUGGCGAGGAGACGGAGAGUGAGAGUACGGCCUGCCUCUGCCCGGAUGUAUUGACGAAUUUAUAAAGUUGGGCUGGGGAGUUAUGUUUUUUAGCAAAGUUGGGCUGGGGAGUUUUUUUUUUUUGAUAAAGUUGGCCUGNNNNNNNNNNNNNNNNNNNNNNNNNNNNNNNNNNNNNNNNNNNNNNNNNNNNNNNNNNNNNNNNNNNNNNNNNNNNNNNNNNNNNNNNNNNNNNNNNNNNNNNNNNNNNNNNNNNNNNNNNNNNNNNNNNNNNNNNNNNNNNNNNNNNNNNNNNNNNNNNNNNNNNNNNNNNNNNNNNNNNNNNNNNNNNNNNNNNNNNNNNNNNNNNNNNNNNNNNNNNNNNNNNNNNNNNNNNNNNNNNNNNNNNNNNNNNNNNNNNNNNNNNNNNNNNNNNNNNNNNNNNNNNNNNNNNNNNNNNNNNNNNNNNNNNNNNNNNNNNNNNNNNNNNNNNNNNNNNNNNNNNNNNNNNNNNNNNNNNNNNNNNNNNNNNNNNNNNNNNNNNNNNNNNAUGAGUCAAUGUUCUGCAGUCCGGACGAGGGCCAAUUUCAACAAAAUACAAUUGUCUCAAAAAAAAAAAUACAACCAUGCUCGGAUACAUGAUGAUGCAAGCGCCACCGACUGGUGCCCAACCGGAGGAUCCGCAGCGCCUCGUCAAGAGACCCAUUCCCUCUCAUAAGCUCACAGCCUCACAGGUGCGGUAAUUUUCAACAAAUUGCUCCGUCAAAACCAUACAAAAAACACCACGACAACAAGGGAAGAAAAGGUGCAUAGGGGCCAUGGACUUGCCGGAAGCUGGGGGCGCACCGAAGUUAGGGCAGGAGUGCGACUUGGGGCUGCGUGAUCGGUCGUCGGCUUAGGGGAUCUCUCUUAUUGAAGCAUUCUAUGGACAGAAGAGAGAGCAUGAGAGUAUCUACAAUCACAAGUACCAAAUUCUAUCUGUGUCUGGGCGUGUCUGCAGACAAUGAUUGAUCAGCAUGCAAAAAAUCGAUUUCGCAACUGUAUAUCUCAUUUUCAAAUUAUCAAAUCCAUACAAUUACAUGGCAUGUAAAUUUAAUCUAAAUUUUCGUCGGUAAUCGUUGACGAUGACAUGUACAUAGGGUAGGGUCAUAUGUCUGUCCUAGACGCCCUACCCAAGGACGCUGCCCUAGAGUCAAGAACAUUCAAAGGACAACAUAAGAUAUCGACUGAAAUCACCUUGGAAUGCAAUCCACUCGACCAUUUAUCUCACUCAGAUACCCCAAUUCCAUUCGACCAAGAUAGAGUCACUCGACCGUACGGAAAAUCACUCGGAGUACAGAAGAUCUAAAACCAUCUCUAGAUGGCAACGGUCAGACGUUCACUCCCUAGUCUUAAAGGUCAUUAAUAGUCAUUAUAGCGGGCGUUACCAGUAAUGUCUCUGUCUUAACCUACAUUAAACCUUGUGUAACUGAGGCAUGUGAAGGGGUGGCGCACUCUAUAUAAGCCACCCUCCCCUCUGGCACAAGGGUUCGCACCCCCUGUAACUUUCACACACAGUCCAGUCGACCAAGCCUCCAGACACCGAGACGUAGGGCUAUUAUUUCUUCUAAGAAGGGUCUGAACUCGUAAAUCUUGCGUGCACAACCUUGCCGUAGCUAGGGCCUUGCCUCCUCCUAUGUACCCCCUAUUCUUACUACCAGACUUGCUCCCACGACAGUUGGCGCCCACCGUGGGGCCGGCGUCUUAGCGACUUCCGGUGAGAUUGCAGUUUUUUCCGAUUUUCAUCAACAUGGUUUCCGGCGAUGGUUUGGCUUUGGGCCGCAAGAUCCGUCUCAGCGCGCUCAUUUUCGUCGCCGACGACUCCGCCUGGAUCCAAGACCCCUCGACGUUGAGGCCCUUCCCGUCCGCGGGGCGGCGCACUUCCGAGCGAGUGCUUGCGGCGUCCUAUUGCGGCAGCCAUCGACCCAGUAUCAAUCGGCUCCCGUGUCAUCCACUUUCUGCGAUGUACGCCACCGCAAGCGAUCCAGUCGGUCGUGGCUUCAGCGGUGGGUGAAGCAUGCGGUGACUCGACAGACAACCACCCCUCAAGUUGCGGCAAUCGAGCCCGACGAAUCUCUCUACGGACCAUUCGAUUGGUUCCGCAGAGACUCUUUCCGAGUGCAGAAGCAGCGACCCUGCAGCGAAGUCCUCAUGGUCGACACGCCGCGCAGCCCACCUGGGUUCCGUCGCGGUGGUGGUGGCGAUGGCGACGGCGGCCCGUCGCAUGGUCACGACGAAUAUCAUCCUGAAGCCCUCACUUUGGAGCAGAGGGACGAGCUGCAUCGUCGCAACAUGGAAGCGCUCCACACCCCCAUCGUUGGCGAGACCUCCGAGGCUCGGGCCUUGGAGGUUGCACGUCUGGCCACCUUGGCUGAGCGUGCACGACUGGAGAAUCUCCAACAUUCACUCGACGAGCGCGCCCGUCGGCAGAUCCCCGAAUCCAGUCGAUGGCCUCUACAAUUGUUUCCGCCUGAACCUCGGGUAUACCGUACUCCAGUCCAGAAUCUUUCAGCCGCAGCAUGAAUAGUAGAGUCAAUUCAGUCGUCUCAUUUAGAAGCUGGUAGAGGGCUGCUGCAGAUCCGCGCGCUGCUCCGAGCGGCGGGUGAACAAAACUCAGCUGUUUCUCAGUCGCGCAACAGGAUCCAUAGUAGAUCUGUGGUCGUGGACACAGUUCAGUCGGCACACAGCCCAAGAUCGCCCCCGUGGCGUGACAAUCAUGGGCAUCGCUAGGAUCAGUACCUGCAUCGAGGCCACGGACAAUAUGAUCACUGGUACGCCCGCGAUGACCACCGUAGAGUGCCUACACCCCCUCUGAGGGGCGGGUCGUACGCACCCCGGCGAUAUGAUGACAGGCGCCCGUAUGGUGAUGAGAGGAUCCGCAGCGCCUCAUCAAGAGACCCAUUCCCUCCUCCACUCCCUCUUAUAAGCACGCUAAUUUUCAACAAAUUGCUCCAUCAAAACCACACAAAAAAACACCACGGCAACGAGGAAAAAAUGAUGUGUGCAUAGGGGCCAGGAAGAGUAGGGCAUGGGAGCCAAAGUUAGGGCAGGAGUGCAACUUGGGGUUGCACGAUCGGUCGCCGGCUUAGGGGAUCUCUCUUAUUGAAGCAAUCUAGGGAGAGAAGAGAGAGCAUGAGAGUAUCUACGAUCACAGGUAUAAAAAACAUAUCCACGUCUGGGCGUGUCCGCGGACAAUGACUGAUCAACACGCAAAAAUUCAAUUUCACAACUGUAUACCUCAUUUUCAAAUUAUCAAAUCCAUACAAUUACAUGCCACGUAAAAUUAAUCUACAUUUUCGCCGGUAAACAUCCUUGUUGUUCCGACCGUGUCCAUGUACAGCGGCCGGCUUAACCCCUCGAAGUGAAGGCGCAGUUGCCGGCGAGGUAAUGUAGGACAUGUGACACGGACCGGCUCACGGGACUCGAUGCGCCUUCAUCUCCCAUGCCCUAUUCUUCCUCGUCGGAGUCCACAACUUGUUCGUUGCAACUGGGCAUGAGGUCGAUGAUGGAUGUGGCGAGCGGUCGGGCCGGACGGCAUGCGGCUCCGCCUUCGCUGCCUGGGCAGCGAGAGCUUCCGUGGCCAUCCGCUCUUGGUGCCUUGCACCUUGUGUCUGCAGCGUGCUUGCCAUACACCAUGCUGGCGUUGACCUCUGGCUCGGAGCCCACCCCCGCGGGGACGGCGCGCCACCGAAUGGGUUGCACUGUCAUCCCGGGGUUCAACUGCCAGACGGCCUGCAUUGUGUUCGGCAAGGCAGGGGUACAACGCCUCCCACCACGAGCCUCGGGUAGAUCCAGUCGCAUUCACGCGAACACAAUGGGUUCCUAGCGAUACGAGUCCGUCCGCGAUCGGGCGCACUCCUCCCGGGAGCGAUGGAGAGCCACACGGACUGCCAUCUCCUCCUCGGGACUGUAAGGGACAAGGUCCCAGUCGUCGGAUCCAGACAUCCUGGAGUUAGAUUCGCUGCCUGCCACGCUAGAAACAAACGGAUUUCGACGAAGGAGAGCUUGGGGGGAGGGGAGUGAAGUGGAGUGUGGCUAGGGUUUCUUCUAGAGUGCGGAUAUGGUUGAAUAUAUGUGGGUCGGGUGGGCCAUUGUAGGCUAGAUCCAACAUGGCAGGCGCGCCCUGGCACAUCCGGGCCUCCCUAUCUCCGCCCCACAUAUGAAUAUGGCAGUUGUCGGUCAGUUCGGACAUUUUGAUUGCUUUCAGGCGUCAGGUUGGAUAGCAAUUCCGCGCCCAAACAGUGAUCGAGCAGGCCAUCUCAGCGUCUAAGAAGGAUGGGGAGCGUCUGGUUGUAGAUGAUAGGAUAAGAAAAUUAAAUUGAAAAAUAUUAAAACUGGGUGACCUACGAGACUUCUCAGUGUUUAGACAACAUCAUCCGCCUGAUCUACAAACUAACGGGUCUAGUCAACUAGCCGGGCAACUUACAAUGCGCACAUGCUAAUUUCACCGCUCGAUCGUGUGUCAACUGGGCCUACGUAGCUAGGAAACUCCUCCACAACCCCACCUGGGCCAACUCUGGUUCAACUAUGUUCCCAUUCAUCGGAUUGAAAACAUACGACCAGAUUGGCAUUCUAGACAUCAGGGUAUCUUCAACGGCAACUCACAAAAAUCCUUUCGCAUUCGUCUGCGGUCACGGAUGCGGGAGGACGCCAUCCAACGCUAGCCGGAUACGUUUUCACAGUAGCUCAAACUAACCGGACGAAAUUCGAUCAAACACGGCCAGACUUUAUAUAAACAUGACGAAUUUCAUUACAUUUUACUUAAAUUCGAUCAAACACGGCUCACGGGACUCAAGGCGUCGCCAUCUCUCAUGCCCUACUCUUCCUCGUUGAAGUGUGCAGCCUGUACGUUGUUAGUGGACGAGAGGUCUACGAUGGACGUGAUGCUCGGGAUAUCAUGUGCGUUCGCUGCUGCGUGGGGAUCUGGGCCAAGCCUUUAUAUGGAAUACAUAUGUGUCAGGCCUUGUUUGUGGGCCAGGUUUGGGGCGUAGGCAUAGUGGUUUCUGGACGGCCAUCUCACACUGACGGGCUGAGUCGUGGCCUAGUUCGCGUCUUUCCGUCUGAUCCGUGGCUCGGAUAAGUCGCUUUCUGUCAGAGCGAGUCAGCCUCGAAUGAUGCAGGUCAAGAGUCUUCUUCCCCAAUGCGAUAACUCGCAAGGGAGAGGCCGAGGGAGUUUGAGAACAGGCGACGGAUGCGCAAUGGAGUUCCUCAUGCAGAGGUAUGUCGACCGAGAAAUUUGUUUUUUUUUGUUCACCCUAGCUCACGAUUUGAAGGCUGGAGCUCAGGUGGCUGAGGUCUAUUCGCUUUAUCUAACAGAUCGACUCUGAUUGAAGAGCUCGGGGAGAGAAUGGUCCCGGAAGAUACGCCGACGGAUGGUACCACGCGGACGUUGGUGGAGGUGGCACCGCCGGAGGGCACAGGUGUGAGCGACGAAGGGUUGAUCUGAGGCGCAUCUGGACACUGGCAAGGAGCAAAGAUGGUCGAAUCUGCAGCGCGGCUCAAGCGGCAGCAGGUUGAUCACGGGUGCUGGUAGACAAUUAGUACCGGUUGGUAACACCAACCGGUACUAAAUGUUUGGGGGGGUUUUGGUUUUACUUUUUAUUUUUCCAUUAAUUUUGUGUUCCAUUUAAUUCUUUUUUGUUUGCUGGUAUUUUAUGAUACUACGUAUUGUACACGUUAUGCAUAUAUAUAAAUAGAUUUUCUCGUAGAACCGAUCAUAUAUAAUUUAUAUCAUCGAAUGUCUCACAACCACCAUUAAUUAUUCACACAUACACAUGUGUGUGUAUACACAAUUUCUCCUACAUGUUGCCUUGGUGUCUUCAGAGAUGACAAGUGGUUCAUGGGGCUGUACGGGUAAUAGUAUUCUCCUUUGGGAUCUAUGACCUGGUCGAGCAAAAAUCCCGCUAUUUCAUCUUGAAGUGCUAGUAUGCGCUCCGUUUAUAGGAGCUUCUCCCGCACCUCUUUGAACUAUUAAGAAGGAGAUCAAUAUGCAUGUGUAUUAGUUGUAUGACUAGAUAUCGGUAAUGAUGUAAAUAUUGUGAAUAGUGUACUGGCAAACGUACCCAUUCCUGUCUAUCAGAUUUGCUCCUUUUGGACGCCAUCAUGCGAAUGUUCUCGCAAACGUAGUAUGCACACAGAUCAGUCCCCGUAGCCUGCUUCAAGGCCUUUACGAGAAUGGAAUUUAAUCAGAUAAUAAUUAAUCAAGCAUGAUAAUUAAGUAAUGGUAUUGAAACAAGAAUUAAAGAGAUGGUAAGCUAGCUAGUAAUACUUAAUUACUUACCUUGGAUCGAAACCAAAACAACUUUUGUCGCCAUUUGCCUGGAGUCACCUUGAUGAAAUUUUCCCAAGCCCUGCCCGCCAACAAAGAAAAUGAAUAAAGGGGUUAUUAAAUAGUUCAUAUCAGAAAAUGACGAACUAAUUAAAUAGGCCGAGAUAUAAUUAAUAAUGAUUGAAAUUACCUGCCGACUAUCCCCUUCACGAUGACAAAGUCACUUUGUUCCUUAAGUAGUGAGUCCAGUACUUCAACUGUUCCUUUAUCAACUUUAAUGACUAACAAGAUCCAGUGGUAACUGCAUGCGCAUAUAUUUGCAUGUCUUAGUUAAGCGGGCAUGUGCACAACACUAAUCAACUAGCCUAAACUGUUGGAAAUAUUCCCUAGAGGCAAUAAUAAAUUAAUUAUUAUUAUAUUUCCUUGUUCAUGAUAAUCGUUUAUUAUCCAUGCUAGAAUUGUAUUGAUAGGAAACUCAAAUACAUGUGUGGAUACAUAGACAACACCAUGUCCCUAGUAAGCCUCUAGUUGACUAGCUCGUUGAUCAAUAGAUGUUUACGGUUUCCUGACCAUGGACAUUGGAUGUCAUUGAUAACGGGAUCACAUCAUUAGGAGAAUGAUGUGAUGGACAAAGACCCAAUCCUAAGCCUAGCACAAGAUCAUGUAGUUCGUAUGCUAAAGCUUUUCUAAUGUCAAGUAUCAUUUCCUUAGACCAUGAGAUUGUGCAACUCCCGGAUAUCGUAGGAGUGCUUUUGGUGUGCCAAACGUCACAACAUAACUGGGUGGCUAUAAAGGUACACUACAGGUAUCUCCAAAAGUGUCUGUUGGGUUGGCAUGAAUCGAGACUGGGAUUUGUCACUCCGUGUAAACGGAGAGGUAUCUCUGGGCCCACUCGGUAGGACAUCAUCAUAAUGUGCACAAUGUGAUCAAGGAGUUUAUCACGGGAUGAUGUGUUACAGAACGAGUAAAAGAGACUUGCCGAUAACAAGAUUGAACAAGGUAUCGGGAUACCGACGAUCGAAUCUCGGGCAAGUAUCGUACCGCUGGACAAAGGGAAUUGUAUACGGGAUUGAUUAAGUCCUUGACAUCGUGGUUCAUCCGAUGAGAUCAUCGUGGAACAUGUGGGAGCCAACAUGGGUAUCCAGAUCCCGCUAUUGGUUAUUGACCGGAGAGUCAUCUCGGUCAUGUCUGCAUGUCUCCCGAACCCGUAGGGUCUACACACUAAGGUUCGGUGACGCUAGGGUUAUAGAGAUAUUAGUAUGCGGUAACCCGAAUGUUGUUCGGAGUCCCGGAUGAGAUCCUGGACGUCACGAGGAGUUCCGGAAUGGUCCGGAGGUAAAGAAUUAUAUAUAGGAAGUGCUAUUUCGGCCAUCGGGACAAGUUUCGGGGUCAACGGUAUUGUACCGGGACCACCGGAAGGGUCCCGGGGGUCCACCGGGUGGGGCCACCUGCCCCGGCGGGCCACAUGGGCUGUAGGGGGUGCACCUUGGCCUAUAUGGGCCAAUGGCACCAGCCCCAAGAGGCCCAUGCGCCAAGAGAAGAGGGAAAGGAAGAGUCCUAAAGGGGGAAGGCACCUCCUAGGUGCCUUGGGGACGAGGGACUCCUCCCUGGCCGCACCCUUCCUUCGAGGAAGGGCCAAAGGCUGCGCCCCCCCUCUCCCUUGGCCCUAUAUAUAGUGGGGGAAAGGGAGGGCAGCAACACCUAAGCCCUGGCGCCUCCCUCUCCCUCCCAUGACACAUCUCCCUCCUCUCGCAGAGCUUGGCGAAGCCCUGUUGAAAUCCCGCUACUUCCACCACCACGCCGUCGUGCUGCUGGAUCUCCAUCAACCUCUCCUCCCCCUUUGCUGGAUUAAGAAGGAGGAGACAUCGCUGCUCCGUACGUGUGUUGAACGCGGAGGUGCCGUCCGUUCGGUGCUAGGAUCAUCGGUGAUUUGGAUCACGACGAGUACGACUCCAUCAACCCCGUUCUCUUGAACGCUUCCGCGCGCGAUCUACAAGGGUAUGUAGAUCCACUCCUCCCUCGUUGCUAGAUGACUCCAUAGAUAGAUCUUGGUGACACGUAGGAAAAUUUUGAAUUUAUGCUACGUUCCCCAACAGUGGCAUCAUGAGCUAGGUCUAUGUGUAGUUUCUAUGCACGAGUAGAACACAAAGUAGUUGUGGGCGUUGAUUUUGUUCAAUAUGCUUACCGUUACUAGUCCAAUCUUGAUUCGGUGGCAUUGUGGGAUGAAGCGGCCCGGACCGACCUUACACGUACUCUUAUGUGAGACUGGUUCCACCGACUGACAUGCACUAGUUGCAUAAGGUGGCUAGCGGGUGUCUGUCUCUCCCACUUUAGUCGGAUCGGAUUCGAUGAAAAGGGUCCUUAUGAAGGGUAAAUAGCAAUUGGCAUAUCACGUUGUGGUUCUUGCGUAGGUAAGAAACGUUCUUGCUAGAAACCCAUAGCAGCCACGUAAAACAUGCAAACAACAAUUAGAGGACGUCUAACUUGUUUUUGCAGGGUAUGCUAUGUGAUGUGAUAUGGCCAAAAGGAUGUGAUGAAUGAUAUAUGUGAUGUAUGAGAUUGAUCAUGUUCUUGUAAUAGGAAUCACGACUUGCAUGUCGAUGAGUAUGACAACCGACAGGAGCCAUAGGAGUUGUCUUAAUUUAUUUAUGACCUGUGUGUCAACAUAAACGUCAUGUAAUUACUUUACUUUAUUGCUAACCGUUAGCUGUAGUAGUAGAAGUAAUAGUUGACGAGUCAACUUCAUGAAGACACGAUGAUAGAGAUCAUGAUGAUGGAGAUCAUGGUGUCAUGCCGGUGACAACGAUGAUCAUGGAGCCCCGAAGAUGGAGAUCAAAAGGAGCAAAAUGAUAUUGGCCAUAUCAUGUCACUGUUUGAUUGCAUGUGAUGUUUAUCAUGUUUAUACAUCUUAUUUGCUUAGAACGACGGUAGUAAAUAAGAUGAUCCCUCAUUAAAAUUUCAAGAAAGUGUUCCCCCUAACUGUGCACCGUUGCGAAAGUUCGUCGUUUCAAAGCACCACGUGAUGAUCGGGUGUGAUAGAUUCUUACGUUCGAAUACAACGGGUGUUGACGAGCCUAGCAUGUACAGACAUGGCCUCGGAACACAUGCGAAACACUUAGGUUAACUUGACGAGCCUAGCAUGUACAGACAUGGCCUCAGAACACAAGAGACCGAAAGGUCGAGCAUGAGUCGUAUAGAAGAUACGAUCAACAUGAAGAUGUUCACCGAUGAUGACUAGUCCGUCUCACGUGAUGAUCGGACACGGCCUAGUUGACUCGGAUCAUGUAAUCACUUAGAUGACUAGAGGGAUGUCUAUCUGAGUGGGAGUUCAUAAGAUGAACUUAAUUAUCCUGAACAUAGUCAAAAGGUCUUCGCAAAUUAUGUCGUAGCUCGCGCUUCAGUUCUACUGUUUAGAUAUGUUCUUAGAGAAAAUUUAGUUGAAAGUUGAUAGUAGUAAUUUUGCGGACUAGGUCCGUAAUCUGAGGUUUGUCCUCAUUGCUUCAUAGAAGGCUUAUGUCCUUAAUGCACCGCUCAGUGUGCUGAACCUCGAACGUUGUCUAUGGAUGUUGCGAACAUCUAACAUACACACUUUGAUAACUACGUGAUAGUUCAGUUAAACGGUUUAGAAUUGAGGCACCGAAGACGGUUUUGAAACGUCGCGAAACAUAUGAGAUGUUUCGAGGGCUGAAAGUGGGAUUUCAGGCUCGUGCCCACGUCAAGAGGUAUAAGACCUCCGACGAUUUUCUUAGCCUACAAACUAAGGAGAAAAGCUCAAUUGUUGAGCUUGUGCUCAGAUUGUCUGAGUACAACAAUCAUUUGAAUCGAGUGGGAGUUGAUCUUCCAGAUGAGAUAGUGAUGUUUCUCCGAAGUCAUUACCACCAAGCUGCUAGAGCUUCGUGAUGAACUAUAAUGUAUCGGGGACAUAUAUGAUGAUCCUUGAGAUAUUCGUGAUGUUUGACACCACAAAAGUAGAAAUCAAGAAGGAGCAUCAAUUGUUGAUGGUUGGUGAAACCACUAGUUUCAAGAAGGGCAAGGGCAAGAAGGGAUACUUCAUGAAACAGCAAAUCAGCUGCUGCUCUAGUGAAGAAACCCAAAGUUGAACCCAAACCCGAGACUAAGUGCUUCUGUAAUAAGGGGAACAGCCACUGGAGCAGAAUUACCCUAGAUACUUGGUAGAUGAGAAGGCUGGCAAAGUCGAUAGAAGUAUAUUGGAUAUACAUUGUGUUAAUGUGUACUUUACUAGUACUCCUAGUAGCACCAGGGUAUUAGAUACCGGUUCGGUUGCUAAGUGUUAGUAACUCGAAAUAAAAGCUACGGAAUAAACGGAGACUAGCUAAAGGUGAGCUGGCGAUAUGUGUUGGAAGUGUUUCCAAGGUUGAUAUGAUCAAGCAUCGCACGCUCCCUCUACCAUCGAGAUUGGUAUUAAAACCUAAAUAAUUGUUAUUUGGUGUUUGCGUUGAGCAUAGACAUGAUUGGAUUAUGUCUAUCGCGAUACGGUUAUUCAUUUAAGGGGAAUAAUGGUUACUCUGUUUAUUUGAAUAAUACCUUCAAUGGUCUUACGCCUAAAACGAAUGGUUUAUUGAAUCUCGAUCGUAGUGAUACACAUGUUCAUGCCAAAAGAUAUAGGAUAGUAAUGAUAGUACCACCUACUUGUGGCACUGCCACUUAAGUCAUAUCGGUAUAAAACGCAUGAAGAAGCUCCAUGUUGAUGGAUCUUUGGACUCACUCAUUUUUGAAAGGAUUGAGACAUGCGAACCAUGUUUUUUGGUAGAUAUGCAUGAAGAAACUCUAUACAGAUGGAUCGUUUGGACUCACUUGAUUUUGAAUCACUUGAGACAUGCAAAUCAUACCACAUGGGCAAGAUGACUGAAAGCCUCGUUUUUCAGUAAAAUGAAACUAGAAAGCAACUUGUUGGAAGUAAUACAUUUUGAUGUGUGCAGUCCAAUGAGUGCUGAGGCGUGUAGUGGAUAUCGUUAUGUUCUUACUUCACAGAUGAUUUGAGUAGAUGUUGAGUAUAUUUACUUGAUGAAUCACGAGUCUGAAUUAUUGAAAGGUUCAAGUAAUUUCAGGGUGAAGUUGAAAGAUUGUCGUGACAAGAGGAUAAAAGAUCUAUGAUAUGAUCAUAGAGAUGAAUAUCUGAAUUACGAGUUUGGCACAUAAUUAAGACAUUGUGGAAAUUGUUUCACAACUAAUAUAGCCUGGAAUACCGUAGUGUGAUGGUGUGUCCGAACAUCAUAACUGCACCCUAUUGGAUAUGAUGCAUACCAUGAUGUCUCUUAUCGAAUUACCACAAUAGUUUAUGGGUUAGGCAUUAGAGACAACCACAUUCACUUUAAAAGGGGCACCACGUAAUUCCGAUGAGAUGACACCAUAUGAACUAUGGUUUAGAGAAACCUAAGCUGUCAUUUCUUAGAAGUUUGGGGCUGCGAUGCUUAUGUGAAAAAGUUUCAGGCUGAUAAGCUCGAACCCAAAGCGGAUAAAUGCAUCUUCAUAGGACACCCAAAACAAUUGGGUAUACCUCCUGUCUCAGAUCCGAAAGCAAUAAGGGAUUGUUUCUGGAAUCGGGUCCUUUCUUGAGGAAAAGUUUCUCUCGAAAGAAUUGAGUGGGAGGAUGGUGGAGACUUGAUGAGGUUAUUGAACCGUCUCUUCAACUAGUGUGUGGCAGGGCACAGGAAGUUGUUCCUAUGGCACCUACACCAAUUGAAGUGGAAGCUUAUGAUAGUGAUCAUGAAACUUCAGAUCAAGUCACUACCAAACCUCGUGGGAUGACAAGGAUGCGUACUACUUCAGAGUGGUACGUAAUCCUAUCUUGGAAGUCAUGUUGGUAGACAACAAUGAACCUACGAGCUAUGGAGAAUCGAUGGUGGGCCCGGAUUCCGAUAAAUGGCUCGAGGCCAUAAAAUCCAAGAGAGAAUCCAUGUAUGGAAACAAAGUGUAGACUUUGACAGAACAGCUCGAUGGUCGUGAGGCUAUUGAGUACAAAUGGAUUUUAAAAGGAAGACGGACAAUGAUGGUAAAUGUCGCCAUUAAAAAGCUCGACUUGUCGUUAAGAUGUUUUUCGACAAGUUCAAGGAGUUGACUACGAUGAGACUUUCUCACUCAUAGCGAUGCUAAGAGUCUGUUGGAAUUAUAUUAGCGAUUACUGCAUUAUUUAUGAAAUCUUGCAGAUAGGAUAUCAAAACAUUGUUUCCUCGAUGAUUUUUGAGGAAAGGUUGUAUGUGAUACAACCGGAAGGUUUUGUCAAUCCUGAAAGAUGCUAAUAAGUAUGCAAAGCUCCAGCAAUCCUUCUAAGGACUCGAGUAAGCAUCUCGGAGUUGGAAUGUAUGCUUUGAUGAGAUGAUCAAAGAUUUUGGGUGUAUACAAAGUUUAUGAGAAACUUGUAUUUCCAAAGAAGUGAGUGGGAGCACUAUAGAAUUUCUGAUGAAUAUAUGUUGUUGACAUAUUGUUGAUCAGAAAUGAUGUAGAAUUUCUGGAAAGCAUAUAGGGUUAUUUGGAAAGUGUUUUUCAAUGGAAAGCCUGGAUUAAGCUACUUGAACAUUGAGCAUCAAGAUCUAUAAGGAUAGAUCAAAACGCUUAAUGGUACUUUCAAAUGAGCACAUACCUUGACAUGAUCUUGAAGGUGUUCAAGAUGGAUCAGUCAAAGAAGGAGUUCUUGCCUGAGUUGUAAGGUAUGAAGUUAAGACUUAAAGCUCGACCGCGGCAGAAUAGAGAGAAAGGACGAAGGUCGUCCCCUAUGCUUUAGACGUAGGCUCUACAGUAUGCUAUGCUGUGUACCGCACCUGAAGUGUGCCUUGCCAUGAGUCAGUCAAGGGGUACAAGAGUGAUCCAAGAAUGGAUCACAGGACAGCGGUCAAAGUUAUCCUUAGUAACUAGUGGACUAAGGAAUUUUCUCGAUUAUGGAGGUGGUAAAAGAGUUCGUCGUAAAGGGUUACGUCGAUGCAAACUUUGACACUAAUCUAGAUUAUUCUGAGUAGUAAACUGGAUUCGUAUAGUAGAACAGUUAUUUGGAAUAGCUCCAAAUGUAGCGUAGUAGUUGCAUCUACAAGAUGGCAUAGAAAUUUGCGAAGUACAUACGGAUCUGAAAGAUUCAGACCCGUUGACUAUAACAUCUCUCACAAGCAUAACAUGAUCAAACCCAGAACUCAUCGAGUGUUAAUCACAUGGUAAUGUGAACUAGAUUAUUGACUCUAGUAAACUCUUUGGGUAUUAGUCACAUGGGGAUGUGACCUUGAGUGUUAGUCACAUAGCGAUGUGAACUGGAUUAUUGACUCUAGUGCAAGUGGGAGACUGUUGGAAAUAUGCCCUAGAGGCAAUAAUAAAUUGAUUAUUAUUAUAUUUCCUUGUUCAUGAUAAUCGUUUAUUAUCCAUGCUAGAAUUGUAUUGAUAGGAAACUCAAAUACAUGUGUGGAUACAUAGACAACACCAUGUCCCUAGUAAGCCUCUAGUUGACUAGCUCGUUGAUCAAUAGAUGGUUACGGUUUCCUGACCAUGGACAUUAGAUGUCAUUGAUAACGGGAUCACAUCAUUAGGAGAAUGAUGUGAUGGACAAAGACCCAAUCCUAAGCCUAGCACAAGAUCAUGUAGUUCGUAUGCUAAAGCUUUUCUAAUGUCAAGUAUCAUUUCCUUAGACCAUGAGAUUGUGCAACUCCUGGAUACCAUAGGAGUGCUUUGGGUGUGCCAAACGUCACAACGUAACUGGGUGGCUAUAAAGGUACACUACAGGUAUCUCCAAAAGUGUCGGUUGGGUUGGCACGAAUCGAGACUGGGAUUUGUCACUCCGUGUAAACGGAGAGGUAUCUCUGGGCCCACUCGGUAGGACAUCAUCAUAAUGUGCACAAUGUGAUCAAGGAGUUUAUCACGGGAUGAUGUGUUACAGAACGAGUAAAAGAGACUUGCCGGUAACGAGAUUGAACAAGGUAUCGGGAUACCGACGAUUGAAUCUCGGGCAAGUAUCGUACCGCUGGACAAAGGGAAUUGUAUACGGGAUUGAUUAAGUCCUUGACAUCGUGGUUCAUCCGAUGAGAUCAUCGUGGAACAUGUGGGAGCCAACAUGGGUAUCCAGAUCCUGCUGUUGGUUAUUGACCGGAGAGUCAUCUCGGUCAUGUCUGCAUGUCUCCCGAACCCGUAGGGUCUACACACUUAAGGUUCGGUGACGCUAGGGUUAUAGAGAUAUUAGUAUGCGGUAACCCGAAAGUUGUUCGGAGUCCCGGAUGAGAUCCCGGACAUCACGAGGAGUUCCGGAAUGGUCUGGAGGUAAAGAAUUAUAUAUAGGAAGUGCUAUUUCGGCCAUCGGGACAAGUUUCGGGGUCACCGGUAUUGUACCGGGACCACCGGAAGGGUCCCGGGGGUCCACCGGGUGGGGCCACCUGCCCCGGCGGGCCACAUGGGCUGUAGGGGGUGCACCUUGGCCUAUAUGGGCCAAGGGCACCAGCCCCAAGAGGCCCAUGCACCAAGAGAAGAGGGAAAGGAAGAGUCCUAAAGGGGGAAGGCACCUCCUAGGUGCCUUGGGGAGGAGGGACUCCUCCCUGGCCGCACCCUUCCUUGGAGGAAGGGCCAAAGGCUGCGCCCCCCCCCCUCUCCCUUGUCCCUAUAUAUAGUGGGGGAAAGGGAGGGCAGCAACACCUAAGCCAUGGUUCCUCCCUCUCCCUCCCAUGACACAUCUCCCUCCUCCCGCAGCGCUUGGCGAAGCCCUGUUGGAAUCCCGCUACUUCCACCACCACGCCGUCGUGCUGCUGGAUCUCCAUCAACCUCUCCUCCCCCCUUGCUGGAUCAACAAGGAGGAGAUGUCGCUGCUCCGUACGUGUGUUGAACGCGGAGGUGCCGUCCGUUCGGCGCUAGGAUAUCAGUGAUUUGGAUCACGACGAGUACGACUCCAUCCACCCCGUUCUCUUGAACGCUUCCGUGCGCGAUCUACAAGGGUAUGUAGAUCCACUCCUCCCUCGUUGCUAGAUGACUCCAUAGAUAGAUCUUGGUGACACGUAGGAAAAUUUUGAAUUUAUGCUACGUUCCCCAACAUAAACCCUAUACACUUAAUCACUACUAGGGAAAAGCCUAGCAGCAGCGCGGGUUUUGGGUGUAUCGGUAGCGCGGGUGCCCGCGCUACUGAUACGGCGCCACAGCUAACUUGUAGCAGUAGCACGUGUUGACACACACCACUGCUAUACAUGGUUAGCUGUAGCGUGCGUUGCAAACAGCGCUACUGCUAAUUAGCUGUAGCGGGUCUUAUAUCCCGCGCUACUGCUAUUAUUUUCAAAAACAAAAAAAUCUCGAUCCCGUACGUGUUGUCAAUGGUAGAAGUGGUUCGAUCUAGCGAUGAUUGGCUUCGCCGGAGGCAUGAACGGACAGCGGAAGACCAUAUCCAGUAGCGGUUGUUGGAGAGGGCCCGUUUCGAUGGCAGAGCCAGGCCGCGGCGUGGGGCUCCUCUUCUCGACCAUGCCAGAUAGCUCCGGGUCUUCCAUGGCGACGACCUACACGUGCAUGGACAUGGGAGGGUGAGUCAAACCAGAGAGAGAAAAGGAAAACCGAGGGAGAGAGGAAGGCGAUGUAGGGAGCAGCGGAGCUAGUGACCGGUGGUGAGGUGCUCCGGUGUGGUGGCGCGGGCCGGAGGCCUCCUAGACGUCGAUGGAAGACCGGCGAGCUCCUAGACGCCGGUGGCGCGAGGCGGCGGCCUCUUUCGGCGCCACGGAGGAGGAUGGGCGCAUGGGCAAGAGGUCCAUGUGAGAGCGUAUGGAAAGUGAGAGGAGAGAGUGGUGGAAGAGAGGAGGGAUUUGGGGGAGGAGAUGGGGAUUCGGCCGAGGAUAUGGCGACUUCACCUACCUCGUAUUUAGUAGUAGCGAGGGGUAUAAAACCGUGCUACUACUAUCAACAUAGUAGUAGCGCGGGUUUAUACCCCUCGCUACUACUAUGGCAUGUGUCGGGGAGCACAGUAGAGACCGCUUAGUAGUAGUAAGGGUUAAAAACCCACGCUACUACUAUCAACUUAGUAGUAGCGAGGGGUAAAAACCCGCGCUACUGCUAAGAUUUUGUGUAUAAGGUUUUCCCUAGUAGUGAAUUAUUAACAUCUAGAUAGCUAGUAAGCAAAAAUAGAAUUUGUACUACAAGACAGUGUGACUCACCUGAAGUUGUACGGAAGUAGUAUAUCUUCAUUGCUAUUGAGGGGCUUGAAGAACUCUAGCAUGGUUUCCCUAAACUUGCUCGACAACUUGGAAUUUGCCAUGUGUAUUCAUUAACUAUAUUUGGGUCAAUGAACCUAAUGCCAUAGCAUCCAGAUUUUUUCAUUUCAUACAUUUUCAUCCUGCAUAAUACCAUAGAAAAGAAUAUAGUGAGGAUAAUUACAGGUAAUGAUUGAUCAAAAGGAUCACUACAGCUAGCUUGAGACUUAAAUUACAGAAAGAAAUCACUUACAGACAAUAGCAACUGACAAGAGAUUUGUCGAGUGCGUCUUGAUUGUAUAACUGAAAUAGUUCUGAAUACUCAACGGACAGAGCUUUCUCAUGGAAGUAACGCUCCUCCUUGACAUUCACCAUGAGGGACUCUCGAUUGGAAAUCUUGGUAAUGUUCAUGUACCACUGAUGCAAUUCAUACAUUCUCGUCGGGAGGUUCUUGACCUCCUCGGGCUUGACCAAAGGUUGGCCCCGGACAUAUUUCCAUUUUAUUUCCUCCUCUCUAAGAGGAGACAUGGGCUCAAACUCGAGGAGUUGUCCAACACUGAUAUCGAGAAUUUUAGCCUGCCUUAUAUGCUCCUCGGUUAUUACCAGAUUGUUCAGUUGGGGAACGGUUUGCCCACAAUAAUAUAGGACGCGCGUACUCCCAUGUGUUGUUGGCACAACAAGCGGGGGAUUGAUUACGCCGCAUGUUAUCCCAGCUGGGCAACGGUUUUCCCGCAUUUUUUGCCAGCUGCUUGUUGGCUCGAGCUCGAGCUCGCUUCCUUCUGUAGUCGUGCUCGAUGUGUGCCUAAUUUGGCACUCAUAGUCUGAGUCGACAGGCUUGGGAGCUGGUGGUCUAGCCAUACGAAUGAAGUGGUCAAUCUUUUCCUCAGGCACUUUCUCCCUUGGCAGCGGUGUCGGUUUCGGUCCAAAAUAGGUGUCCACUUGGGCCUUAACUAUGGCUUCUUUUUGCUCCUCGGUCAUGUCGUAAGGCCUCUGAGGAAGAGGAGCGAGGCUUGGACCAUAUUUAUAUCGCUCGCCUUCGCCUGUACCUCCUGUACUACCUUGACUUGUACCGCUACGCACCAUAGCUGCGGUGUGUCUCUUCUGUGAUUGCUGAGGCGUUGGAGACGGCUGACGUGGCUGAGUUGGAGCUGGAGUCUGCUCACGCAUUAAUGGCCUUGGAGGAGCGGGAGUCUGCUGACACGGUGGCGGACUUCGAGGAGUAGUCAGCUCACGCGUUCGUGGACUUGAAGGAGCAGGAGUCUGCUGACAUGGUGGCAGACUUCGAGGAGGAGUUGGCUCACGUGUUCGUGGACUUGGAGGAGCGGGAGUUUGCUGAUAUCGGUGGCGGACUUCAAGGAGGAGUCGGCUGACGCGGUGUCGGUAGCCUUCGAAAGAUGAUGCAAUCCUUUCUCCAUAGGAUGAUACGAUGUAUGGCCUCUCCCAGUGUGUGCUCGUCGUCACCUCCAGGAAUGUCAAGCUCUAGCCCCGAAUAUUGGUCCACCACCUCAUCAACCAAGACACGAGCAUAGCCCACUGGAAUCGGGGUGCAAUGAAAGGUUGCUUCGGGGAUAUUUGUAAAAGCAACGACGUGCACCACCUUCAUGGAUAUGUUCUUCAUUUUGAAGUGUAGCUCACAGUUAGUGUUCUCUAUGAUAUCAUCCACAGGGUAUGUAUCCAGCAGUGCAUCGUCCGGGGCAGAACCAACGUUGAUUCUCAGCAUGGAUGGGACGGUGCUAUCCAAUGUUGGAUCAUCCGCUUGCUGAUGCCGCUGCUGAGACCCCCUUUCCUGGCUAAGUGAGUCGAUCUGCUGCUGCUGCCGCUGGAAUUUGAGUGCCAAGUCUGCAUGCCUUGCUUCUAGGCCUUGAAGGCGUUCUGCUUCCUGCUUCCUCUGCUCCUCCUCCAGCUUCCUCUUCUUCUCCUCCUCCAUCUUCUUUCUUGCACGGCACCUGUAGUCGUCGUUCCAUUCCAAAAAGCCCUCAUACCAGGGAAUAACGCCCUUGCCUCGUGUUCUUCCCGGGUGUUCAGGAUUUCCCAGGGCGCGUGUAAGCUCGUCAUUAUCUCUGUUGGGCGUGAACACCCCCUUUCAAGCAUCUUCUAUUGCGUCGAGUAACUUUUGUUCGGCUCCUUUUAGACUUGCCUUCUUCGAAACCAUGCCUGUCUCCGGGUCCAACGCCCCCCAUGCGCAUAGAACCAAGUUCUGCACCUGUGGGGCCAUCUCCUAGUAACUGGAGUGACCCUUGCAUCCUCCAUCUCUUGCUCAGACUUAUCCCACUUAGGCAUUGCCAUCGCGUAGCCACCUGGCCCCAGCCUAUGGAACUGCAUCUUUUUUGCAGCAUUGGCCUUGUUUUUUCUCGACCAUUCCUUAGAUAAUUCUGAUUCCUUGAAUUUCAUGAAAGCGGGCCAGUGUUCUCUUUGCUUCUCCAGUGUUCUCGUGAAUUCAGGAGUCUUCCUUUCUGCAGCUAAGUAGUUGGCCCAUACAGUUUUCUUGUGGGUGUUGAAUGCAAUUGCCAUCUUCUUAAGAGCAGCGUCCUUGACUUUCUGCACAUCUGCAUCAGUGAAAUAAUAUGGUAGGGUGAAAUGUUCCAUCAGAGAUUCCCAAAUCUUUUAUUUUGCUCUGUCGUCGACCCAAGUAACAUCUGGACGUUUAGUUUUUGGCUCUUUCCAUUCUUGAAUGGAGAUCGGGAGUUGGUCCUUCACAAGAACUCCGCACUGACGAACGAACUUGUUCGCAAUGUUCUUAGGCAUGAGGGGUUCGCCACUAGCUUUGAUGGAAUCGAUGUUGUACUUUACACCCUCCUUCAACUUUUUGCCCGGGCCUCGCUUUGUCCUGUUGUCUGUAGAAGCAGAUUUGCUUGAUCUGGAGGGCUGAAAGAAGAAAGAUCGAUUCAUUAAUAUAUCUUCAAAUCAAAAAAACAUGUGAUGAUCACCAGAUGCCUACUUAUAUAAAUAUACCUCGCCGGUAGUCUUUGUUAUUUGAAGAUCAACAUUGUCUGCAUCAUCAUAAUCAUAAUCAUAGUUCAUGACUUCAUCAGCUCGGUCGUCCUGAUCGAAUAUCUUAUCAUCACCCUCCCCGGUAUUGUUCAGAUAUUGGGAGCCGUCAUCUGCUCAUUCAGAUCAUCUGGCUGCGUAUGAUCUCAUAUGAUCUCGAACAGGGCCUCUUCUCCCUAUCUGCCGGUAUUGUCCGCCAUAGCUUUUAUUUAACUAAUCCAGACGAAAUAUAAAACAAUUUAGUAUUCAAAUUACAAUGCAUGUAUGCAAUCAAUAAGGAAAAACUGAAUCAUAUAGUACAUAAUAUGCAUCGUCUCAAAUAAUAUAUAAUCUCGAAUACAUCGUCUCGAAUAAUAUAUAAUCUCGAAUACAUCGUCUUGAAUAAUAUAUAAUCUCGAAUACAUCGUCUCGAAUAAUAUAUAAUCUUGAAUACAUCGUCUCGAAUAAUCACUGGCUAGGUAGCUAACAAAGAUCGAAUACUACAGAAUAAUCUAGGCCACUCGCGGUUCCCGGGGCGCGGGCGGUGGACACCCAAAGAGGAGGAACCAUCACAGGAUCAUAUCUCCGGUCAUCUGCCCAAAGAACCUGCCAGGUGUUGGAGAACCUGACAUCCAUAGUAGCCAUGUAGCGACGGACGUGCUCGUCCUCCUCCCUGACAGGGCGACGCACCACCUCCGGUGGGGCCGGCUCCCUCUGCACCGAAUGUGGCCCACGUGAAUGCCACCAAAGGAGAUCAAGGUCGACGACGGGACCCGAGGUCGGGUUCCUCACCAAGCGGCGCGCCCCUGCAGGUAGCACCUCCCACUGCCAGCCCGGCGGAGCCCAGUCCCGGACAUGGGUCAGCCGGACGUCGUCGCGAACGGGUCGACGGCGAGGAUGUGGGAUGGGCAUCGUCGAGAACAAAUACUAUAUGCCCGCAAAAAGUAACAUUUUUUAAAUGAUUGGAUUAUGAUAACUAAAAUUCUAUAUGCAAAUUCUAAAUUUUUCUAUAACUAAAAUUAUAAGAAACUAAAAAAACAUCGAUCAUCGUUUGACAAUUUGACAUUAAUGUAAUUCAUCUAGCUAAAACUAAUUCUAAAAUUUCUAUAUAACUAACAAUUCUAAUACUUCUACAACUAAAAAACAAAAAAAAUUCUAGCAUUUCUAUAGAUAUUUCUAUAACUAAAAAACAGAAAAAUUUCUAUAACUAAAAUUUAUAANNNNNNNNNNNNNNNNNNNNNNNNNNNNNNNNNNNNNNNNNNNNNNNNNNNNNNNNNNNNNNNNNNNNNNNNNNNNNNNNNNNNNNNNNNNNNNNNNNNNNNNNNNNNNNNNNNNNNNNNNNNNNNNNNNNNNNNNNNNNNNNNNNNNNNNNNNNNNNNNNNNNNNNNNNNNNNNNNNNNNNNNNNNNNNNNNNNNNNNNNNNNNNNNNNNNNNNNNNNNNNNNNNNNNNNNNNNNNNNNNNNNNNNNNNNNNNNNNNNNNNNNNNNNNNNNNNNNNNNNNNNNNNNNNNNNNNNNNNNNNNNNNNNNNNNNNNNNNNNNNNNNNNNNNNNNNNNNNNNNNNNNNNNNNNNNNNNNNNNNNNNNNNNNNNNNNNNNNNNNNNNNNNNNNNNNNNNNNNNNNNNNNNNNNNNNNNNNNNNNNNNNNNNNNNNNNNNNNNNNNNNNNNNNNNNNNNNNNNNNNNNNNNNNNNNNNNNNGGGCCAGGCGCGGCGACAGGGACGAGGACGGCCGGGGCAGCGGCGAUGGCGACAGAUGGCGACGGGGGCGGCGACGAGGGGCGGUGGCAACGGCGACGGACGGCGACGGGGACGGCAACGGACGGGGACGGCAACGAGGACGGCGACGGACGGUGACGGGGGAAGCGACGAGGGGCGGCGGCGACGGGGCAGAGGAGAAGAAACAGAGGGAGAGAUGAGAAACUGAAUUUUUUUGAGUGUUUUCUUAUAUAGAACCCACAUUUAGUACCGGUUCCAACCGGUACUAAAGGUCUGUUUUGGCCAGGCGAAGUGGCGGGAAGCGCACCCCCUUUAGUACCGGGUGGUAGCUACAACCGGUACUGAAGACCCCCCCCCCUUAGUACCAGUUGGAGCCAUGACCCGGUACUAAAGGGUGUGCGCUAGCGCAGGUGCGGUGCUGUAAGUUUAGUCCCACCUCGCUAGUCGAGGGGCGUCCGCACUGGUUUAUAAGCCCCAAUGCGGUAGCUCUCUCGAGCUCCUCUCCAAAGCAGGCCUACUGCUACCUCUUGAGCUUGCGUUGGAUUUCCCCGAAGAGGAAAGGAUGAUGCAGCAGAGUAGCGUAAGUAUUUCCCUCAGUUUUUGAGAACCAAGGUAUCAAUCCAGUAGGAGGCCACGCUCAAGUCCCUCGUACCUGCACAAAACGAUAGCUACUCGCAACCAACGCGAUUAGGGGUUGUCAAUCCCUUCACGGUCACUUACGAGAGUGAGAUCUGAUAGAUAUAAUAUUUUUGGUAUUUUUGGUAUAGAGAUGCAAAGUGAAAAGUAAAAGGCAAAGUAGAAAAGCAAAGCAAGAUUAAAGUGGUGGAGAUUGAUAUGAUGAGAAUAGACCCCGGGGGCCAUAGGUUUCACUAGUGGCUUCUCUCAAGAGCAUAAGUAUUCUACGGUGGGUGAAAAAAUUACUGUUGAGCAAUUGACAGAAUUGAGCAUAGUUAUGAGAAUAUCUAGGCAUGAUCAUGUAUAUAGGCAUCACGUCCGUGAAAAGUAGACCGAAACGAUUCUGCAUCUACUACUAUUACUCCACUCAUCGACCGCUAUCCAGCAUCCAUCUAGAGUAUUAAGUUAAAAACAGAGUAACGCUUUAAGCAAGAUGACAUGAUGUAGAGAGAUAAAUUCAUGCAAUAUGAAAUAAACCCCAUCUUGUUAUCCUCGAUGGCAACGAUGCAAUACGUGCCUUGCUGCCCCUUCCGUCACUGGGAAAGGACACCACAAGAUCGAACCCAAAGCUAAGAACUUCUCCCAUGGCAAGAACUACCAAUCUAGUUGGCCAAAACAAACGGAUAAUUCAAAGACACUUGCAAAGAUAACCAAUCAUACAUAAAAGAAUUCAGAGAAGAUUCAAAUAUUAUUCAUAGAUAGACUUGAUCAUAAACCCACAAUUCAUCAGUCUCAACAAACACACCGCAAAAAGAAGAAGAUUACAUCGAAUAGAUCUCCACGAGAGAGGGGGAGAACUUUGUAUUGAGAUCCAAAAAGAGAGAAGAAGCCAUCUAGCUAAUAACUAUGGACCCGAAGGUCUGAGGUAAACUACUCACACUUCAUCGGAGAGGCUAUGAUGAUGUAGAAGCCCUUCGUGAUGACGGCCCUCUCCGGCGGAGCUCCGGAACAGGCCCCAAGAUGGGAUCUCGUGGAUACAGAAAGUUGCGGCGGUGGAACUAGGUUUUUGGCUCCGUAUCUGUUCGUUUGGGGGUACGUAGGUAUAUAUAGGAGGAAGAAGUACGUCGGUGGAGCUUCGGUGGGCCCACGAGGGUGGGGGCGCGCCUGGGGGUAUAGGGCGCGCCCCCCUACCUCGUGCCCACCUCUAAGCUUACUUGGCGUAGGAUCCAAGUCUCCUAGGUCAUAUUCGGGAAGAAAAUCACGUUCCAGAAAGGUUUAUUCCGUUUGGACUCCGUUUGACAUUCCGUUUCUUUGAAACACUGAAAUAGGCAAAAAAACAGCAAUUCUGGGCUGAGCCUCCGAUUAAUAGGUUAGUCUCAAAAAUAAUAUAAAAGUGGAAAAUAAAGCCCAAUAUAGUCCAAACAGUAGAUAAUAUAGCAUGGAGCAAUCAAAAAUUAUAGAUACGUUGGAGACGUAUCAGGCAUCCCCAAGCUUAAUUCCUGCUCGUCCUCGAGUAGGUAAAUGAUAAAUGGAGAAUUUUUGAUGCGGAGUGCUACUUGGCAUAAUUUCAAUGCAAAUCUUCUUAAUUGUGAUAUGAAUAUUCAGAUUCGAAAGAUUCAAGACAAAAGUUUAUAUUGACAUAAAAAUAAUAAUACUUCAAGCAUACUAACAAAGCAAUUAUGUCUUCUCAAAAUAACAUGGCCAAAGAAAGUUAUCCCUACAAAAUCAUAUAGUCUGGCUAUGCUCUAUCUUCACCACACAAAAUAUUUAAAUCAUGCACAACCCCGAUGACAAGCCAAGCAAUUGUUUCAUACUUUUGACAUUCAAAAACUUUUUCAAUCUUCACGCAAUACAUGAGCGUGAGCCAUGGAUAUAGCACUAUAUGUGGAAUAGAAUGGUGGUUGUGGAGAAGACAAAAAGGAGAAGAUAGUCUCACAUCAACUAGGCGUAUCAACAGGCUAUGGAGAUGCCCAUCAAUAGAUAUCAAUGUGAGUGAGUAGGGAUUGCCAUGCAACGGAUGCACUAGAGCUAUAAGUAUAUGAAAGUCCAUCAAAAGAAACUAAGUGGGUGUGCAUCCAACUUGCUUGCUCACGAAGACCUAGGGCAUUUUGAGGAAGCCCACCAUUGGAAUAUGCAAGCCAAGUUCUAUAAUGUAAAAUUCCCACUAGUAUAUGAAAGUGACAUAACGAGAGACUCUCUAUCAUGAAGAUCAUGGUGCUACUUUGAAGCACAAGUGUGGUAAAAGGAUAGUAACAUUGUCCCUUCUCUCUUUUUCUCUCAUUUUUUUAUUUUUUUUAUUUGGGCAUUUUCUCUUUUUUAUGGCCUCUUUUCUUUCUCUUUUUUUAUUUGGGCUUCUUUGGCCUCUUUUAUUUCAUCCGGAGUCUCAUCCCGACUUAUGGGGGAAUCAUAGUCUCCAUCAUUCUUUCCUCACUUGGGACAAUGCUCUAAAAAUGAUGAUCAUCACACUUUUAUUUUUCUUACAACUCAACAACUCGAUACUUAGAACAAAAUAUGACUCUAUAUGAAUGCCUCCGGCGGUGUACCGGGAUAUGCAAUGAAUCAAGAGUGGCAUGUAUGAAAGAAUUAUGAACGGUGGCUUUGCCACAAAUACGAUGUCAACUACAUGAUCAUGCUAGCAAUAUGAAAAUGAUGAAUGUGUCAUGAUAAACUGGAUGGUGGAAAGUUGCAUGGCAAUAUAUCUCGGAAUGGCUAUGGAAAUGCCAUAAUAGGUAGGUAUGGUGGCUGUUUUGAGGAAGGUAUAUGGUAGGUGUAUGAUACCGGCGAAAAGUGUGUGGUAUUAGAGAGGCUAGUAAUGGUGGAAGGAUGGGAAAAAGUGCAUAUAAUCCAUGGACUCAACAUUAGUCAUAAAGAACUCAUAUACUUAUUGCAAAAAUCUAGAAGUUAUCAAAGCAAAGUAUUACGUGCAUGCUCCUAGGGGGAUAGAUUGGUAGGAAAAGACCAUCGCUCGUCCCCGACCGCCACUCAUAAGGAAGACAAUCAAUAAAUAAAUCAUGCUCCGACUUCAUCAUAUAACGGUUCGCCAUACGUGCAUGCUACGGGAAUCACAAACUUUAACACAAGUAUUCUUUAAAUUCACAACUACUCAACUAGCAUGACUCUAAUAUUAUCACCUCCAUAUCUCAAAACAAUUAUCAUGCUUCAAUCUUUUCUUAGUAUUCAAUGCACUCAAAAGAAAGUUUCACAAAUCUUGAAUACCAAGCAUAUUAUUAUUAAGCAAAUCACCAUGCUAUUAAGAGACUCUCAAAAUAAUAUAAGUGAAGCAUGAGAGAUCAAUAGUUUCUUUAAAACAAAUCCACCACCGUGCUCUAAAAGAUCCAAGUGAAGCACAUAGAGCAAAAUUAUAACGCUCAAAAGAUAUAAGUGAAGCACAUAGAGCAAAACUACUUAGCUCAAAAGAUAUAAGUGAAGCACAUAGAGAAAAACUACAUAGCUCAAAGGAUAUAAGUGAAGCACAUAGAGCAAAACUACAUAGCUCAAAAGAUAUAAGUGAAGCACAUAGAGAAAAAUUAUAAUGCUCAAAAGAUAUAAGUGAAGCACAUAGAGAAAAAUUAUAAUGCUCAAAAGAUAUAAGUGAAGCACAUAGAGCAAAACUACUUAGCUCAAAAAGAUAUAAGUGAAGCACAUAGAGUAUUCUAUCAAAUUUUAAUUCAUGUAUGGCUCUCUCAAAAGGUGUGUACAGCAAGGAUGAUUGUGGAAUACUAACAACCAAAGACACAAAUAAUACAAGACGCUCCAAGCAAAACAAAUAUCAUGUUGGUGAAUAAAAAUAUAGCUCCAAGUAAAUUACCGAUGGAAGUGGACGAAAGAGGGGAUGCCUUCCGGGGCAUCCCCAAGCUUUGAAUUUUUGGUGUCCUUGGAUUAUCUUGGGGGUGACAUGGGCAUCCCCAAGCUUAGGCUCUUGCCACUCCUUGUUCCAUAAUCCAUCAAAAGAAUUCACCCAAAACUUGAAAACUUCACAACACAAAACUCAAUAGAAAUCUCGUGAGCUCCGUUAGAGAAAGAAAACAAAAGACCACUUCAAGGUACUGUAAUGAACUCAUUAUUUAUUUAUAUUGGUGUUAAACCUACUGUAUUCCAACUUCUCUAUGGAUUAUAAACUAUUUUACUAGCCAUAGAUUCAUCAAAAUAAGCAAACAACACACAAAAAACAGAAUCUGUCAAAAACAGAACAGUCUGUAGUAAUCUGUAGCUACCGCAAUAUCUGGAACCCCAAAAAUUCUAAAAUAAAUUGAUGUACAUGAGGAAUUUAUCUAUUAAUAAUCUUCAAAAAGAAUAAACUAAAUAGCACUCUCCAAAUAAAAAUGAUAGCAGUUCUCGUGAGCGCUAAAGUUUCUGUUUUUUACAGCAAGUUCAACAAGACUUUCCCCAAGUCUUCCCAACGGUUCUACUUGGCACAAACACUAAUUAAACACAAAAACACAACCAAAACAGAGGCUAAAUAAAUUAUUUAUUACUAAACAGGAGCAAAAAGCAAGGAAUAAAAAUAAAAUUGGGUUGCCUCCCAACAAGCGCUAUCGUUUAACGCCCCUAGCUAGGCAUAAAAGCGAGGAUAGAUCUAGGUUGUGCCGUAGUAAUAAGAUAGAUCGGUAAAACUCAUUUCAUAUUCUCUACGUUCGGCAGCAAGUUUUCUUUGAGGCAGGCAAAAGUAAUCAAAAGGGCUAAAUUUAAUAGGACAGAAGUCCCCAAGAUCAAUUUUCGGAGGUAUAGGUUCCUCUUUCGGCCCUUCGUAUUGUACAACCAAUUCAUCAUUAUAAGCAUUCUUUUGACAGAACCUUGUGAGCCUAAACUCAAGAGAGCAUCCUAGCUCAUUAUUUCGAAUAGCCAAAUCAUCAUUAAGUUUAGAGAUUCUAUCAAUUAAAAUAUUGAUUGGCACCUUUUUUCUAAGGUUUUCAUUAAAAGCAACAUAGUCAAGAGAUUGAAAACGCAUAAUUUCUUCUUGAUCGAAGAGGAUAGAUUCUAUGGGAGGACGACCAACGUCCAACCUAUAGUGUGCAAAGAUUUCUUUGGCUUCUUUUAUUAUAAAUCUGAAUUCAUGAGCUAAAAAUAUAGUAGCGACACGCUUAACAGAAGAAUGCUCGAUAUUAGAAAAUUCUAGGAAAACUCUUUGUAUAGAUGGGUGCAUAUGCAUAAAUUGUCUUUCAAGUUCAAUGAUAAGCAUGGCAAUAGCGUCCGCAAGACUACUAGUUCUAUGGAGAAUAGAACCGCCCAUAGAGGGCAAAGCACCGGCACAAGUAAAGAAAACUUGAAUAACUCCUUUUCCAAUAAUAUUACCACUACCGAUUUGAAAUCUUUUUGUAUGGUAGGUAGGGGGUUCUUCAGCAGGAGCAUCAGAAUUUUCCAUGAUAUUGUUAUCGCCCAUAUCGGCGAUAACUUCCCCAAUUUCAGACAUAACGACAAGCAAGCAAUCCAACACACGAGCAAACAAAAGGCAAGCGAGAAAAAGGCAAACGGAAAAAAGGGAAGGAGAAGGAGAAGGAGAUUGGGAAAGAGAGGGCGAAUAAAACGACAAGGGUGAAGUGGGGGAGAGGAAAACGAGAGGCAAAUGCCAACUAAUGUAAUACGAGAGAUAGGGAUUGUGAUGGGUACUUGGUAUGUUGACUUUUUGCGUAGACUCCCCGGCAACGGCGCCAAAAAUUCUUCUUGCUACCUCUUGAGCUUGCGUUGGAUUUCCCCGAAGAGGAAAGGAUGAUGCAGCAGAGUAGCAUAAGUAUUUCCCUCAGUUUUUGAGAACCAAGGUAUUAAUCCAGUAGGAGGCCACGCUCAAGUCCUUCGUACCUGCACAAAACGAUAGCUACUCGCAACCAACGCGAUUAGGGGUUGUCAAUCCCUUCACGGUCACUUACGAGAGUGAGAUCUGAUAGAUAUAAUAUUUUUGGUAUUUUUGGUAUAGAGAUGCAAAGUGAAAAGUAAAAGGCAAAGUAAAAAAAGCAAAGCAAGAUUAAAGUGAUGGAGAUUGAUAUGAUGAGAAUAGACCCGGGGGCCAUAGGUUUCACUAGUGGCUUCUCUCAAGAGCAUAAGUAUUCUACGGUGGGUGAACAAAUUACUGUUGAGCAAUUGACAGAAUUGAGCAUAGUUAUGAGAAUAUCUAGGCAUGAUCAUGUAUAUAGGCAUCACGUCCGUGACAAGUAGACCAAAACGAUUCUGCAUCUACUACUAUUACUCCACUCAUCGACCGCUAUCCAGCAUCUAUCUAGAGUAUUAAGUUAAAAACAGAGUAACGCUUUAAGCAAGAUGACAUGAUGUAGAGAGAUAAAUUCAUGCAAUAUGAAAUAAACCCCAUCUUGUUAUCCUCGAUGGCAACGAUGCAAUACGUGCCUUGCUGCCCCUUCUGUCACUGCGAAAGGACACCACAAGAUCGAACCCAAAGCUAAGCACUUCUCCCAUUGCAAGAACUACCAAUCUAGUUGGCCAAACCAAACGGAUAAUUCGAAGAGACUUGCAAAGAUAACCAAUCAUACAUAAAAGAAUUCAGAGAAGAUUCAAAUAUUAUUCAUAGAUAGACUUGAUCGUAAACCCACAAUUCAUCGGUCUCAACAAACACACCGCAAAAACAAGAAGAUUACAUCGAAUAGAUCUCCACAAGAGAGGGGGAGAACUUUGCAUUGAGAUCCAAAAAGAGAGAAGAAACCAUCUAGCUAAUAACUAUGGACCCGAAGGUCUGAGGUAAACUACUCACACUUCAUCGGAGAGGCUAUUAUGAUGUAGAAGCCCUCCGUGAUGACGGCCCUCUCCGGCGGAGCUCCGGAACAGGCCCCAAGAUGGGAUCUCGUGGAUACUGAAAGUUGCGGCGGUGGAAUUAGGUUUUUGGCUCUGUAUCUGUUUGUUUGGGGGUACGUAGGUAUAUAUAGGAGGAAUAAGUACGUCGGUGGAGCUUCGGUGGGCCCAUGAGGGUGGGGGCGCGCCCCCUACCUCAUGCCCACCUUGAAGCUUCCUUGGCGUAGGGUCCAAGUCUCCUGGGUCAUAUUCGGGAAGAAAAUCACGUUCCAGAAAGGUUUAUUCUGUUUGUACUCCGUUUGAUAUUCCGUUUCUUCGAAACACUGAAAUAGGCAAAAAAUAGCAAUUCUGGGUUGGGCCUCCGGUUAAUAGGUUAGUCCCAAAAAUAAUAUAAAAGUGGAAAAUAAAGCCCAAUAUAGUCCAAAACAGUAGAUAAUAUAGCAUGGAGCAAUCAAAAAUUAUAGAUACGUUGGAGACGUAUCACCUACCGGGCCUACCUGUUCUGUGCUGCCCUAUGGGCCUACUGGGCCUUUGCGGGCCUGCAUCCUGGCCCAACAACACGUUGGGUUUCUAGUCGUAUGCAGGCCGCUGUGGCGCAGUAGGCAGGUUUUUUUUCUUUUUUUUUGCUUUAUUUAUUUUUUUAGUUGUUUUUCGCUGUAUUUAGAGUUUCUUUGUGAAUAUUUUUGCUUUAGGUACAAAAAAAUUAUAAACUUUCUGUUAGUGCUGGUAAUUUUCAAAUUUGAAUAGUUUAAAUUUUGAAUUAUUUGAAAUUUAUGUGAAUCACUAGUUUGUGAAUAGCUUAACUUUGAAAAUAAAUUUUCCAGUGAUUAUUUUUUCUUAUGUUUAAUAUUAGUGUGUUUUAUCAUUAUAUUCAAUCUGGUAGUGCUUAGGUUAUUUAAAAAAUGAAAUGCCUUUGUAACACAUGUGUUUUCGUCCGAAACCCUGAUACUUCGAAAGAGAUUGUCCAUUUUGUACACGAAGUGCAUCCAGUUUUUGCGGUAACCCUCUCUACUCUUUUGCACAUGCCAUGUGAGUGAAAUUAUGAUACCAUGCCAACUUUCAACCUUUCCUGAGUUCAUUUGAAGUGUUUUUCAAUUUCAGGGUCAUUUAGCUGAAAAAAUUAGUAAAUGCAUGAAAAAAUUUGUUUGCACAUAAAAUUUCUUCGCGUUUCAAAUGCCAAAACACAUAACUACCCUAGCUAUUACAGAGAUUCCCUCCUGGGUGUGAAACACAGAAGAAAGUGAUGAUAGUGAAGCCGAUCACAUCCCAGAUCUUUGGGUGUGAAACUUUUUCUUCUUGUGUGUCCCUUUGCGCCGUAGCCAUGGAAAAUCUUCAUCAUUUAUCGGGAUGCCCGGGUCAAUAUUCACUGUGAAUGGAGCAAUUUCAUCAAACUUUUCAUAAUCUUCUAACAUGUCUGUCUUGUCAUCCACUCCCACGAUGUUUGUGUUCCCAGAAAGAACUAUGUGGCACUUUGGUUCAUCAUAUGAUGCAUUCGCUUCCUUAUCUUUUCUUUUUGUCGGCUUGGUAGACAUGUCCUUCACAUAGAAAACAUGUGCCACAUCAUUGGCUAGGAUGAAUGAUUCGUCUGCAUACGCAAGAUUUUUGAGAUCCACUGUUGUCAUUCCGUACUGCGGGUCUUUCGUUACCCCGCCUCAUGUCAUAUUGACCCAUUUGCACUGAAACAAAGGGACCUUCAAACCACGUCCAUAGUCAAGUUCUCAUAUGUCCUCUAUGUAACCAUAAUAUGUUUCCUUUCCCGUCUUGGUUGUUGCAUCAAAGAGGACACCACUGUUUUGGUUGGUGCUCUUCUUAUCUUGGGCGAUCGUGUAAAAUGUAUUACCAUUUAUCUCAUACCCUUUGAAAGUCAUUAUAUUCGAAGAUGGUAACUGGGGCAGCGAGUACAGGUCAUCUUCAAUAGAGGCGUCAUGCAUGGUACGUGUCUGCAACCAGCCGGCGAAACUCCUAGUUUGUUCACUGCUCCGGGUGUUUGGAGCGUAGAAAAUUCUUGUGUUCGUCCAUAUACGGAGCCACCAAGGCGAAAUUCUGUAGAACUGUGUAGUGUGCUUCAGUGAGAGAAUGUUCGUCCAUACAUAUUAUUUGAUUCCCUCCUAGCGUGCCUUUUCCAUCCAGUCUGCCCUUAUGCCGCGAUUCGGGAACACCAACCGGCUUAUGGUCAGGAAUAAAGUUAAUACAAAAUUCAAUGACCUACUCAUUUUCAUGGCCCUUGGAGAUGCUUCCUUCUGGCCUAGCACGGUUAUGAACAUAUUUCUUUAAGACUCCCAUGAACCUCUCAAAGGGGAACAUAUUGUGUAGAAAUACAGGACCCAAAACAUUAAUCUCUUCGCAUAGGUGAACUAGGACGUGCGUCAUGAUGUUGAAGAAGGAUGGUGGGAACACCAACUCGAAACUGACAAGACAUUUCACCAAAUCAUUCUCUAACCUUGGUAUGAUUUCUGGAUCGAUUACCUUCUGAGAGAUUGCAUUGAGGAAUGCACAUAGCUUCACGAUCGCUAAUCGAACGUUAUCCGGUAGAAGCCCCCUCAAUGCAACCGGAAGUAGUUGCGUCAUAAUCAUGUGGCAGCCAUGAGACUUUAGGUUCUGGAACUUUUUCUCUGCCAUGUUUAUUAUUCCCUUUAUAUUUGAUGAGAAGCCAGACGGUACCCUAAUACUGAGCAGGCAUUCAAAGAAGAUUUCCUUCUCUUCUUUGGUAAGAGCGUAGCUGGCAUGACCCUGAUGUAUGUCAACUUUUCCGUGCAUACGUUGUUGGUCCUCCCCUGCCUCAGGUGUAUCUUUUGUCUUCCCAUACACGCCCAAGAAGCCAAGCAGGGUCACACAAAGAUUCUUCGUCACGUGCAUCACGUUGAUUGCGAAGCGGACCUCUAGGUCUUUCCAAUAGGGUAGGUCCCAGAAUAUAGAUUUCUUCUUCCACAUGGGUGCGCGUCCGUCAGCGUCAUUCGGAACAGGUUGUCCGCCAGGAUCCUUUUCAAAGACUACCUUCAAAUCCUUGACCAUAUCAUGUACAUCAGCACCAGUACGGUGGCGAGGCUUCGUCCGGUGAUCCGCCUCACCUUUGAAAUGCUUGCCUUUCUUUCUUACGGGAUGCCUGCUCGGAAGAAAUUGACGAUGUCCCAGGUACACAUUCUUCCUACAAUUAUCCAAAUAUAUAUUGUCGGUAUCAUCCAAACAGUGCGUACAUGCGUAGUAUCCCUUGUUUGUCUGUCCCGAAAGGUUACUGAGAGCAGGCCAAUCAUUGAUAGUCACGAACAGCAACGCCUUUAGGUCAAAUUCUUCCCCCAUGUGCUCAUCCCAUGCACGUACACAUGUUCCAUUCCACAGCUGUAAGAGUUCUUCAACUAAUGGCCUUAGGUACACAUCAAUGUCGUUGCCAAGUUGCUUAGGGCCUUGGAUGAGCACUGACAUCAUAAUGAACUUCUGCUUCAUGCACAACCAAGGAGGAAGGUUAUACAAACAUAGAGUUACAGGCCAGGUGCAAUGGUUGCUGCUCUGCUCCCCAAAAGGAUUAAUGCCAUCUGCGCUUAGACCAAACCAUGUGUUCCUUGUGUCACCUGCAAACUCCUUCCUGUACUUUCUCUCGAUUUUUCUCCACUACGAUCCGUCAGCGGGUACUCUAUUCUUUCCGUCUUUCUUAUGGUCUUCUCUGUGCCAUCGCAUCGCCUUGGCAUGCUCUUUGUUUUGGAACAAACGUGUCAACCGUGGUAUUAUAGGAGCAUACCACAUCACCUUGGCAGGAAUCUUCUUCCUGGGGCACUCGCCCUCGACAUUACCAGGGUCAUCGUGGCUGAUCUUAUAGCGCAAGGCACCGCAUACCGGACAAGCGUUCAAAUCCUCGUACUGAUCACCGCGGUAGAGGAUGCAGUCAUUAGGGCAUGCAUGUAUCUUCUGCACCUCUAACCCUAGAGGGCAGACAUCCUUCUUUGCUUCGUACGUACUCUUGGGCAAUUCGUUGUCCUUUGGAAGCAUAUUCUUUAUCAUUACCGGCAACUUUCCAAAUCCCUUGUCAGAUACACCAUUCUCUGCCUUCCAUUGCAGCAAUUCCAGUGUAGUGCCCAACUUUUUCUUGUCAGCUUCGCAAUUUGGGUACAACAAUUUCUUGUGAUCCUCUAACAUGCGCUGCAACUUCUUCUUCUCCAAAUCACUUGCGCAGUUUCUCUUUGCAUCAGCAAUGGCCCGACCUAGAUCAUCAGCGGGAUCAUCUGAUGCCUCUUCUUCAGCUUCUUCCCGCAUUGCCGCUCAGCUUCUUCCCUAAUUGUUGUAUCAUCGUAUUCAGGGAACCCAUGGCCAGGAUAGUUGUCGUCGUCCUCUUCUUCUUCAUUGUCUUCCAUCAUAACCCCUCUUUCUCCGUGCUUGGUCCAAACAUUAUAGUGGGGCAUGAAACCGGACUCAAACAAGUGGGCAUGAAUGGUUCUUGACGUAGAGUAAUUGUGAUCAUUCUUACAGUCAGCACAUGGACAAGGCAUAAAACCAUCCGCCCGCUUGUUUGCCUCUGCCGCAAGCAGAAAAGUAUGCACGCCAUUAAUGAACUCGGGAGAGCAUCGGUCAUCGUACAUCCAUUGUCGGCUCAUCUUCAUUACACAACACCGAAAAGAACAAAUUAAUACAAGCUCAUACAUAAAUUUCAUACAUAAAGUUCAUACAACACUUAAAUGCAACAAACAAAUAACUCUCUAGCUAAAGAAUUUAAAUGCAAAAACAAAUGCGAUCAAGAUCGCAACUAAGGUAACAAUUGAUCCAACAGCAUAAUGAUACCAAGCCUCACUAUGAAUGGCAUAUUUUCUAAUCUUUCUAAUCUUCAAGCGCAUUUUCUCCAUCUUGAUCUUGUGAUCAUCGACGACAUCGAUAACAUGCAACUCCAAAUUCAUCUUCUCCCUCUCAAUUCUUUUCAAUUUUCUUUCAAAUCCUGGUUUUCUCUUUCAACUAAAUUUAACCUCUCGACAAUAGGGUCGGUUGGAAUUUCCGGUUCACAUACCUCCUACAUACAAAUAUCUAUGUCAACUUGAUGGGCAUAUGUCAUAAACACAAAAUGCAACAAAUAGUUUUAAAAGAGAAUAUACCACAUCUGAAUCAUAACAAGGACGAGGGCCGACGGGGACUGAUAUCAAAACCAUGGCACUAUGUAUAACAAACAACGUACGGGUAAGAUAAUUAUACGAGUAACUAUAUAUCCAAAUCACACAAACAUCAAUUUUUUAUAUAAAACAUUCAUGAACAAGAGGCUCACCGCAAGGUGGUGCCGGUGAUGGGACGGUGCGGGCGAUCGACGGUGGUUACGACGGAGAUUUAGAAGGCACUAAGUAAACCACACCUACAUAUGCAAACUAAGUGUUAUUUUUGACCUCAAAUUGCAUGUAAAUCAAAUACUAGCACAUAUAAUUCCUCCCAAAUUACUAAACUCACAAACUAAUCACUAUAUAAAGCAUUGCAAGAGCUAAUCUAGCAAUGAGAGAUGAAAGGACAAAGUUGCUAACCUUUGUGAUCAUUUGAAUGGAUGGGGGCCUUCAAAUCUUGACAAAUUUUGGGCAAAAUGUGUGAUGAGCUCGAGAGGAAGAGGGGAAGAACAGAGAGGAGAGGGGAAAUGGGAAGAACAGAGCGAGCUCGGGUGGACGAAGGGUUUAUGUAGGACGACCUGGUACUAAAGGUGCUGGAGGGGCCCCAGACUGACAACAUCCUGCCACCACUCACUUUAGUACCAAUUCGUGGCACGAACCAGUCCUAAAGGUUCGCCAUGAACCGAUACUAAUGAGAGCAGCCAGCUAGCCGUUGGAACCGGCACUACACAUUAGUGCUGGCUCAAAAUCAAACCGGCACUAAUGUGCUUCACAUUUGACCCUUUUUCUACUAGUGUGAAGGGACAGUUCGCCUCCGAUUUCUGAGUUAUCAACGGGGAAGAUGAAUCCCUAGGCUCCUGGCUAGAAUAAGAGGUGUGCGAGGAACUGAAUUUAAACUGAGAAGAUGUGCCAUGAAGAAUUUCAGUAACUUAAUUUUUUGGCUGUGUAUAGUGAUGCGAUAUUGAUUGAAAUUGUUGGUGUCUUUAAUCCAUGGUUUGAUAUGAAUUAGUGUUAAAGCUUGAUGUUUUGAAUGAUUAAUAUAUUCUAGUAGAUAUGUAGUUAGAACUGUAAUUUGAUGGAAAGUGAAUCAAAUUGGUUGACAGAAACAUUUGAAAUCCCUUCCGCCGAGAAUUUGUGUUGCUGCUCCUAGCAGGACCCCUUUCCCAAAAUCGCGUUAGUGCAUUUCAAAAGGCAGUAAAGGUGUUUGUAGAAAACCCGACUGAAAAUGGUAUCUCUCCAGUGCUAAGUACUACUUUUGACUCGCUGGGUGAAGCAUAUGAUUUCUACAACUUGUAUUUUUGGGAGAAGGGGUUUGGGAUUAGGUAUGGUAUAAAAGCCAGCUCAAUGUUGAGAGGAGGAAGUGUAUGCAGAAAAUCGUCUGCGGAUGCUCAGUAAGGAACAAAUUCCGCUUGGUGAUGCUAGUUUACUGGAUGCUGUUCCGGAGAUCAACGUAAUGCAUGUUCAUACCUUUCAGGCAUCAUCAGCUUGCUCGGCAACUUGGGGCAGAGCUUGAUGCGGAAUGUGAGCACAGCAAAAAAUGUUUGAUUUAAAAAUAUUUACUGAUUACUACAUGUAGAAGUAACUGGUAAUUGUGUGUGUAUGUUGUUGCAUAUGAGAUGGAGAGAGCAACCCGCGCACCGACACUGAAUGUGCAGACAGGUUUGAUUAUGGGGUUAUUGACAUCUUUGACAAUGAAAUCAAAUAUGAAGUUGAUUUGGAAGAAAGCAAUGAUGAAGUUGAUUCAGAAGAAUGGUCUGAUGAUCCUAAGCAUGGUAGUCUUAUUGAGACAGACUGAAGGCUAAGGGAGCAAGAGUAGAAAGAUGCAGAAGUCGUGAAGGUGUAUCAAGAAAUGUUUGAUAAAAAUGUUGAUCUGCAAGAAGAACAAGGCCGUGAGGUUGCAAUGGUGUGUUAAAAAAUGUAUGAUCAAAAUGGUAAAUGUGGCUGGAAGGAAAAUGAGAUGAUGCAAGACAUUCUGGUAAUGUCUUGGACACAAAGCAACUAAGCCAUUUAUGUUUUGCUACAGGUACUAAAGCUCAGAUCGCCAAUGCAUCGGCAACAUAAAACUUGCUUAGGAGGUUGAGCCUGCAGGUCAAGAAACAAGCCCCAUGGUGGGUGGUCGUAGAGGUAUGUUAGCAAACAAGUUAGAUUAGAGAUUGAGUGUGUCAUGUGAAAGAUCGUGGAUGUCGCCUAGAGGGGGGUGAAUAGGCGUUUUAAAAUAAUUACGGUUUAGGCUUGAACAAAUGCGGAAUAAACCUAGCGGUUAAUUUGUCAAGCACAAAACCUAAAACAACUAGGCUCACCUAUGUGCACCAACAACUUAUGCUAAGCAAGAUAAGCAACUAUGUGAUAGCAAGAUAUAUGACAAUAAACAAUAUGGCUAUCACAAAUUAAAGUGCAUAAGUAAAGGGCUCGGGUAAGAGAUAACCGAGGCACGCGGAGACGACGAUGUAUCCCGAAGUUCACACCCUUGCGGAUGCUAAUCUCCGUUUGGAGCGGUGUGGAGUCACAAUGCUCCCCAAGAAGCCACUAGGGCCACCGUAAUCUCCUCACGCCCUCGCACAAUGCAAGAUGUCGUGAUUCCACUAAAGGGCCCUUGAGGGCAGUCACCGAACCCGUACAAAUGGCGACCCUUGGGGGUGGUCACCGAACUCGUACACUUUGGCGACCCUUGGGGGCGGUCACCGGUAGCCGUCAAAUUGCUCGGGGCGAUCUCCACAACCUAAUUGGAGACCCCGACGCUUGCUCGGAGCUUUAGACCACAAUGAUUGAGCUCCGGACACCACCAACCGUCUAGGGCGCCCAAGCACCCAAGAGGAACAAGCUCAAGGGUACCAAGCACCCAAGAGUAAUAAGCUUCUCAACUUGUAACUUCCACGUAUCACCGUGGAGAACUCAAACCGAUGCACCAAAUGCAAUGACAAGGGAACACUGAGUGCCCAAGUCCUUCUCUCUCAAAUCCCAUCGAAGCAACUAAUGCUAGGGAGGAAAAUGAGAGGAAGAACAAGAAGGAGAACACCAAGAACUCCAAGAUCCAAGGGGUUCCCCUCACAUAGAGGAGAAAGUGAUUGGUGGAAAUGUGGAUCUAGAUCUCCUCUCUCUUUUCCCUCAAAAACUAGCAAGAAUCCAUGGAGGUAUUGAGAGUUAGCACGCUCGAAGAAGGUCAACAAUGGGGGAAGAACACGAGCUCAAAGGAUAAGGUUUAUUGGGGAAGAAGACCCCCUUUUAUAGGAGGGGAAAAAAUUGAACCGUUAUGUGCUCAGCCCGCACACGAGCGGUACUACCACUCCACGAGCGGUACUACCGCUUGGGCGGAAGAAACAGGGAAAAGGAGCAACAAACAUGAACCUUGGGGCGGUAGUACCGCAUAUAAGCGGUACUACCGCUCACCCCAGUGGUACUACCGCUGGAGGAGCAGAACACGAGACCAAAAGAGGCAGAGCAGAGUAUGGCGGCAGUAAUGCAGUAGCGGUACUACCGCCCGACCGGAGCGGUACUACCGCUUAGGCGGUACUACCGUGCCUUACUGCCGUGCACCUACUGCUAAACCCGACAUGAAAAGAGCAGGACCCAAAUUCGAGGCGGUAGAAGAGCGGCACUGCAGUGGUACUAUGGCUGAGAGCUCCAAGCGGUACUACCGCUUGGGCUCGCGGUACUACCUCUGGGACCAGACAAAAGCCACUUUCAAGAAAACAAGAACUGCCAUAACUUCUGCAUAUGAGCUCCGAAUUGAGCAAACUCAAGCUUGUUGGAAACAAGACGACGAGUAGUAUCAAAACAGCGAAGAAGGAGGCAGGGGAGGUAUGCCUAACAAAUGGAGGAGUGAAACCUCCAACAGAGAAGAACGGGCAUAACCUCCAACAUCGAAAACAUCAUAGAAGAUGCAAGUGAACUCCGUUUUCGAUAAACUCGAGCUUGUCAUCAAGAUGACCAUAAGCUCCAAAACUCUCAAAGAGAACCAAACAAGAACCAAGAAAGAUGAUGCAAGGAUGCAAUGGUUUGAGCUCUCUGUGAACGAUAUGAUCAAGCUACUCAUCGAGAGCCCCCCUUGAUAGUACGGAAAUCGAUCCUAUAACCCGGACUCCCAACUACCACUAUGAGACCGGUAAAAUAGAAAACCUAUCAGGGGCAAACCUUUGUCUUGCACAUAGUCCACUUGAGCUAGAUGAUGACGAUCUUGACUCCCUCAAGUUGGACCACCUUUCUUGAUUGUGUCGGCUCGAUGAAGACUAGUUGAUUGCUCCCCCAUACUCCACCAUGGGUCAGCCACUCUUUGGCACAUCUUCAUAAAUCCAUUGUUACCAUAAUGAACGGCAAGCUUCAAGCAUUUGAUCUCUUCAUGAUGAUCCACUUGAACUUGCACAUCGCAACCUAACCCCACAAAGAACUCUCACGAAAACCAUGGGUUAGCAAACAAAGCGUAAUGGACAAUGCUUACCAUACCAUGGGAUUACUUGAUCCCUCAGUACAUAUUGUAUGCUUUGUGUGUUGAUCAACUUGAUUCAUUCUUGACUUAAUCUUGAUCAACCUUGAAUCUUUCCAAUUCUCUUCAUUUGGAUGAUAUCUUGAAGGUAGACAUGAAUGAUCACACAAUCUUCUUCUUCAAGACAUGCUUGCAACUCACAUGACCAAUCUUUGGAUAAUUCCUUGAAUAGCACCUUGGUCGACACAAACUCUCCUUGAAACCAACACAUGUACUCCAAGAAAAGCCUAUGGACAAAACCUUCAAAUAUAACUCAAGGCAACCAUUAGUCCAUAGAGAUUGUCAUCAAUUACCAAAACCAAACAUGGGGGCACCGCAUGUUCUUUCAUCAUGCCAUAGGUUACAAUUUUUUCAAGUAAACACUAGCACAAGUGUGAAAUAUGCUGACACUGAUUUAACUGCUCUGUCAACUGCAGUUGUAGCUGUUCCGGUUAAGGAAGAAGCCGACGAGAGUUGCCAUCGCUUGCAGGCAAAUAUCGGAGGUUAGGCGGACCGAAAAAUUGUUGGAACAUGCAACAAAACUUUUAAAAUGUGUUUUUGGAUUGCAGUUUGAAUAUUUACUACAAACAACUCUGCUUUGUAGGACAUGCGUACAUUAGUGGUGCAUCCCCGACAAGGAACACGAGUUCCAUGAAGGGGCCUUGGAGACGGAAAGGGAAGAAGAAGUCGAACAGAGGAUCAAAGAGGAAGCAGAAGGUGUGGUUCUCCAACAUUGUGGAGACCAUAUGCCUAUCAGAUUCCACUGAGAGCGAAGACAGUUCUAGUGAUGAUGGAACACAUCAAGCGGGCAUGUCGAUGAGUUCAUACAUCUUCCUGGUAGCAACAAUAGAUGGUUUUGAUACAUCAGUGGCAAAUGACAUUAUGUCGGCGAGUUCAAUUAGGGUGGAAGAGCCACGGACAGCCAUGUCAAGAAGUCCAACAAGCACUGGCGAUGGUACAGGCCUCCAUGAUGUCAGUAACAACCAUGUUUCUAUAAGGAAUACUUUUCUAUUAGAUAGUACUCACUCCGUCCCAUGUUAAUGUUUUGCAAUUUUAGUUGUUGCUCCACACACAUGUGCAAGGAAGUUCUGUGCGAGGAAGAAGCUAAGGAAGUCAUGGCCGCCAAUCUAGUUUCUUGCGGCGCGGUUGGAGAGGAGAAGAACAUCAAGAUGCAGGCAGACGCGGACGUCUGCAAUCCCACUUCGUCCAUGCUGCAAAAAACAGGUAAACAGCCUCGCGGAUGAGAGCCACGGGAUUUAAGUUGGUUUGACAAACUUGUCCUGCCUGGUGUGCUAGGCCUGCCUAGCCUGCGAGGAGAGAGCACAAUUAAGUGAAUAAGUUGGCAGCUGAUAGAGCAAGCCACCGCCGUUCCUCACGGCCGGGUCAGCGUCUCGCUCAUCCCUGCUAGCGCCACCCCUGUUUCUCGCUCGUCCCCGUGUGCACUGUCUGUCUCCGCUGGCGCCGCCCCUACUACCUACUCGCAGCCACCCGUGGAUCAAGAUGCCAAGUGUUGCGGUGGAUGAGCACAAGAAUGCAGCAGAGGAGGAGAAGAAUCCUGCGUGGGAGGGUGAGGAGGACAAGAAUCCGGCGAGAAAGGAGGUGCGGGUACAGGUUUGAUCCUCUCUUCCACCUAUGCUUAAUGUGAUCUAUGUAUUUAGCUGUGGGAUUUACUACUAACUUUUUCCUGAGAUUGCACAUAUCAGUGAAUUAAAUAUGAAGUAUCUUCAUUUGUACUGCCUUCUGGUCCAUUGUGAUGUGCCUAGUUCAUUCCAAGUAGUGAUGACUGAUGAUUGCCUACGUACUGUUGGGUUAGUAGGUGGAAUCAGUGAGAAAUGAUGGAUGAACAGUGUGUAUGUGCAUAAAUAUGUGACUAAGAUUGGGUUCCAGCUCCCAAGUUAUUGUUGAUAGAUGAACUUGGACUGAAUGGGGUGCUGUUACUACCGAUGAACAAUGUUGUUAGUUAAUCUUUUAUUAUAUGCACUAGUAGGAGAUACUACUGAACUUAAGCGAAAGAUGUUCCUGUUGAUGAGGGAAUCUUUUCUGGUCCAAGUGUAUUGCAAAUACAAGAGGCAUCUUAAGAUUUGUUUGUGUUGUUUGCUGCCCUGAUUCUUUCAAAUGUGAAUUAUGUGUGUUUUGUUUCCUCUGUUUUCUUGAUGGGGAGCAUGUUCUCGAGUAGUAUAAUUUUUGCCCCGUGGUCUGAACAGUUCAGGGGAAGCAGCUGGCAUUAGAAAGACUACUAAUGUGGACACAACAAGUAUGAAGUAACUGAAGCAGAUAGAAGAACAUUAACCAGACCUAGCCAAGAUAGUGUGUUAGUGGGUUUCAUUGGGUGUAAAUAGUUAACUGUUGUGGUUGAUGCUGUCAACUUUAAGGCUGCAAUUUCUAUUUUUGGGUUUGUGUGACAAACAAAACGAUGUUGCUUGCUGAGAAAAUUCAUAUCCAUAUCCCUUUGUCCUUGAGUUUUUUUGUUGAUGAUGCGUGCAUGUUAUAUAUUACGUGGCAGCAGCAUCAGCGUGACAGUCAGCAUUAGCAUUGCAGGCAUUCUGGACAGCUCAGUGGCAGACGAGGGCAGCCGCUAAUCAUGCAAUUAAUGGUCGCGGACUCUGGCCGACGCCCCGCAGACGGCAGAGAAGAUCUGGAAGAGGGUGGAUGUGGAUGUCUACCGUUAGUGGGACCAGGCCUGAGCCGUGGCCCAUAACUCGCACGGCCGGCUGAGCCGAUUAGCUUGGGACAUGACUGUGGCAUUAAAUGCAGUAGAUAGAUGGGACCUGACGCGGAGAUAGGAUGGGUAUGCUAUUCGCAAUACACAAGAAUAUACAUGGGUGGUUGUGAAUCUUGGGGCCAAUGAAGGACUGAGAUAUGUAGUGCAUCUGAGCUCAAGCUCAGAAUAGCUCUUUCGUCGGCUUACUCACAACAUAGGUUACAAAGAAAACACUCAUUUUUUUCCUUGCGGCCCAAUUGAAAGAAAAAAAAAGAUGCGGAGUAGGCCCCUUGGCUGACGCAAGGGACUGACUCCCUAUGUCCCAAUCGAGGGGUGGGGGGGGUGGGGGCGGGGGAUGAGGAACAGGCCCUUAACUGGCCAGUUUGAAGGCCCAACCUAAAAAUUUAUUUAUGCAUGGAUGGACAAAAUUUUUAAUACCACGUCAGAUAGGUACGAAAGAAAAUAAUUCCAUAUGAUGGACAGACCAAAAGUUUAGAGAAACGCACCUCCCUUUUAUUAUUAUUAUUAUAUCGGGAAAAGCCCAUGAAUUGCAACGGGUAUAAAAUAAAUCUAAGAGUUUGUGUGGUAUUUGAGAGUUACAUAUCAUGGUGAAAUACUAAGUUUUUUCAAUCAAAUUGGUUGUAAAAUCCAUAAGGAUCCACUUUACGAAGAUCCCAUUGUGUUUCAAAAGCUCGUAAUCUUCUUCUCUGCUAAUAAAACCUACUCCUUCAACUCUCUCUAAAGAAAUUGGAUUAUGUGUAAUAAGUUGUUGAUAUUCAACAACCCUGUGUAAAAAAAAUAAAAAGUUGCACGGUAUACACCACGCCGUUUUUGUAGUCUUCGAGGGUUUAUGCAGUGCUAGUACUAGCAAAGCAGUUUCCUUCCAGAAGAAAGAAAAGAACUAAAAAUUAGAACCAAGGAUAUUCAAUAGUUUUAGACAGCAGAUUCCCAUAGAAAAAAUAUCAAAAACUGAAACAAACAACUAUUUGAAAUCAGCUUUGCUAGUGAAGCUAAAUCUAGAUCCGAGCCAUUUUCAAUGCAAUUGGCUGAAGCAUGUCCAGACAUACUUCAAUGGCAAUCGACGGGCUAUUCAAAGCCAGUUGAAACUGAAACAAACAGGUUAGAGAAAGGAAUCAAACUCAAUGCAAAACUAGGAAAACAGGGAUGUCUUCAAAGGGGAAUUUGCUUAGCGGUUCAAAUGGCCCUGUGCACGCCCAAGCAAACUUUGAUCACCUAUCAGUCUCUGCAAGCAGCAGAUAUAUCUAAAGGUACCAGGAAAAAAAAGCAAGUGAAGGGUAAAAAAUAAAACCUAUGUAGUAAACAAAAUAGGUUUUAUGUUGGAUUCCUAAGAACAAACUGCUUAGCUAAGGGUUGCUUUGAUGUAUAGGAUUCUCAAAACACAGGAAUAGAUAACAAAGCUACAGGAAUAACAACGUGUAGAACAUUCCUAGGGAUCUAAAUCCUCAGUCCUAUAAGAUUCCUUUGAAUCAAAGGAGCCCUAAAACUCCUGAAACUACAAAUUUAAAUCAAAUGGGUUUUAUGUAGGAUUGCUAAUCGUUCUAGCUAAAACCGAUAAACCUACAAAUGCAUUCUGCCCUACCAGAGCUGCCGUCUACAGAAAACCCAAACUAGAAGUAAAAAGCUGCACCCAGAAGAGAUGCGACUCACAGAGAAGUAAACAGACAAGCAGAAAUGCAGAAACACACAGCCCGCAACAACAAUAUUCCUCGCUCAGGCGUGCCAGACCAUCGGGCAUAACUUGGCAAUUCAGAGUACAUCACCUCAACAACUAGCUAAACCGGCAGCUAGACACAAGCUAGUUUCCAAAAGUCAAAGUUCAACCAGCCAGACCUAGAACUGGCACACAGGUGCACAGCACGGUUUACAUACACACAACUUGAUUUCGGCCCUCGAAAGAAAGAGCUCGAUUUUGGUGAACAACCAUACACCACAGAGACCCCCGUUACGGAUCCUUCAUUGCCCGAUCAGCUGC